GGGGUUAUUUUUCUAGGGGUUUUCUAAGUUUUCCUUGUUUUCUUUAAAAUAAAAGGUAUCUCAUUUAUUCUGUACUAAACAAGGGUAUAAUAAAUUUUUCUAGUGAACUAUACUGAAUAAGUAAACUAACAAAAAUGUGGGUGCUCCCUGGUUCUUUACUUAAACUACCUUUACUAUUUUCUCUAACUUUAGGCUAAAAAUGAUUUAAAUAGUAAACUCUACCUUAACUGGGUGUACAGAGGGGUUUAUUAUUUUUGUACAUGUUAGGAAGUGAUUAAGUAUUUCUCUAAAUUUUCUUAACCCCAGUCAAGUAGUGUAACUAUUUUUCCUUAUUUCUUUUAGCUUUUGACCAGUUAAUCAUUUAAAUCAAAACUCUAAAGUUUUCUGCAACACUUAGGAGUUUUAUAUUUUUCCUAAGUAGUUUACAUUAUUUAGGAUCUGGCAAAAUUGGUUUGACUUGAUUUGGGUAAACCAAACUGAAGUUAUGAAUUUUUCAAGUUCUGUUUGAAUUUAAAUCAGAAUUUUUAAAAGGUUUCCUGGAAAACUACUUUGCACCGAAGACCCUGGGUUCCUCCUAAAUCAAUCCAUUCAUUUCUACCCCUGCGCCACUAUUCCCCUGAGUCACUGACAGUGCACAAAACCCCCUGGCCUUUCCUUCUUCUUCCCCGAGGUCUCUCCCCUUAUGUAAACAGUACCCACGGAGAGGAAAAGGGCGGCGCGGCUUACAGGCGGUGAGAGAGGUCCGGCGAGGGGCAGGGUUGGCUUCUGGAGGUCCUGGCGGUCACAGCGAGGUACGGCUCGACGGCGGUGGUGGCCGGAAUCGGCCGGUCCACGUGCACAGGCGGGUGAUCUCGUCGGCGGCGAGUACUCCGGCUUAACCACGGCGAUCUAGUCCAAUUAAACGGCACGAUGAGCUCCACGGGAUGACGUAGAGGCUAUGUGUGCAAGGAAUCGAAGAAUGGGGCAGAGAUUUACCCGGUCUACGUUCACCGGCGAUCGGGUGAAGUCCGGCGACCGUGGACUGGCUUCUCCGGCGAAGCAAAGUCCGAUUCCUUGCUCGGGGAGCUUCACCGAGGCAUGCACAGUCUCUUCCGAGGGUCGGGCGUGGCUGGGAAGAGCUCUGCUGGCAGGUCUACGGUGGCGGGGGAUCGGGUGGCCGCGGGCACGCCGUUUGCAGGGCAACGCCGGUGGUUUCUGGCUCCGGUGAGGUCGAGCGUGUGCGGAGGAGUACGGUCGACGCCUGAGGGGGCUUUAUAGGAGCGGGCGCGAGCAGGGGACACGGGCACGGCUCAGCGCGGCGCGGGGCGCGCGGGUUCGGGCGCGGGCUGCUCUGGCGCGCUCAGAGCACGUUGAACACGUGGAAGUGUUCUUCUUCCCGUGUUCAACAGCUCGCCGAGAUCGCUAGCGUGCGAAUCUUGGCAAAAAUCCGGCGCAGGCCUCCUCCUGGCACCUAGGGCUGUCUCUUGUAUGUGAGUCCCCAUGGCAGAUAUGCCCUAGGUAGGGAGAUAUGUAGACACCAAAUCUGGCUUGUCCCUCUGCCCACCUCGCGACAAAAACCACGCCAAUUCAUGUCAAACGUCUUGGGCUCGGUUUCAACUUUUUCCAGUGGGUGCCUUAGGUGGUAUGGCACAUUUUUGGUAUACAACUCAAGUGGUUUUGGUGCCAUUUACUAAGUGAACACGGUGGAUCUUUAGAUUAGGUGUAGAAUUUGACUUAGAGAGAAUUAGAGAGCCCUAGCUCUCUCUCCACUUAAGGAAAGGUUUGGGGUUCUUUAAGGGGUCUUUUUGCAAUGUUUCCUCUCUGUAUUUGUAGAUUAUAAUGUUACUUAAACUUUGGCUAAAGGUUAACUAAUGAUUUGCACAUUUGCUUAACCUUUCCCCCCUUUUACCAGGGUUUUGGGAGUUAAGGGCUUAAGAAGGGUCUAGGGUUACUCCUCUCUUGCCCAAGGUGGUAAUUGCAUAAAUGCUUGGGUAAUGCUUUUGGUCAUUAACAUUCUUGGUCAAAACAUGGCCCCCAAGGUUUUAUGUUCUUCUCUUCAAGUUUCUUCCACAUGUGAUCACAGUCAUUAGUGCAUAGAGGUGCCAUGGCCAUGGUAGCACCUAGGGUGUUACACACAAUGUCACCUGUAAUAGUGAAGACUGGAGGACCGAAAUAAUAUCCUUCCUCCAAGGCAACCACCUCUCAAACGACGAAGCUUACAAUAAGAGAAUGGAGGCAAGAACAAGACCAUAUGUAAUAGUUGAAGGGGAGCUAUACAAGCAUGGAGUUUGUUCCCCAUUACUUAAAUGCCUCUCUAGGAAUGAAGGACAUGAAUUAAUGAAGGAAAUACAUGCAGGACUAUGUGGAGCCCACAUCGGAUCCAUGGCUUUACUGGGAAAGGUCUUUAGACAAGGUUUUUAUUGGCCGAAGGCAGCUUCAGAUGUAGCAGACUUGGUCCAGAAAUGUGAAAAUUUUCAGAAGUGCGCCAGAGACCAAAAACAACCUUCUUCUUUAACACAAUUGAUCCAACCUACUAGGCCAUUUCAAAGAUGGGGCCUUGAUUUGUUAGGACCACUCCCACCAGCACAAGGAAAUUUAAAAUAUGUUAUGGUAGCGGUGGAAUAUUUCUCAAAGUGGAUCGAAGCUAAACCUCUAGCUACCAUAACUUCGGCCACAGUCCAGAAGUUUUUCUGGCAAAACAUUGUUUGUCGCUUCGGUGUGUCGAAGGCUAUUACAGUCGACAAUGGAACUCAAUUCGAUGCUGAAACGUUCAAAGUUUUUUGUGACCGAAUUGGUACAAGAAUACAUUUUGCAUCAGUAAGGCAUCCAGAAUCAAAUGAGCUAGUAGAGAGAGCAAAUGGAAUUAUAAUGACAGGAAUAAUGAAGUUAAUCUUCAAUUAGCCUAGAGGAAAGUGGCCAGAGGAGUUGAUCAAAGUGGUGUGGAGCCACAACACUACCGUCUCAAGGUCAACAGGUUUUACUCCCUUCAAGCUCCUGUUCGGUGACGAAGCAAUAACACCAGAAGAAGCAAGAACAGGAUCAAUAAGAACCACAACUUCAGCAGAGGACGAAACUGAUUCUCAAAUAACAAAAGACACUAUAGAAGGGACCAUACUUCAAGCCAUAGGAAAUGGGAAGGAUAGCCAACAAUAAAAUGGUGUGAUAGGAAAGUUCGAUUAAAGAAUAUCAAACCAGGCCAAUUGGUGCUUCGAAGGAUAGCCAACCCAGAUACAGUGGGCAAGCUACAGCUGAAAUGGGAAGGCCCUUUUCUGGUAGUACCUUCGUCAAGACACAGUUCUUACAAAUUGAAGGAUAUGGACAGCAACGACAUACCCAGAUCUUGGAAUGCGGAUGAGCUUCGACGAUAUUAUGUGUAAUUGAUGUAAUCUUUUUUAUUUUUCCUAUGGCACCCUUUUCCUUUUAGGAGGGGAGAAACGUUUUUAAUGGGGCCAUAGUUUGUAAUUUUCAUUCUUAUUUAGCCCUAUGCAAUACAAGGGCCAAAAUCCCCCAAAAAAUGUCACAUGUAAUAUCAGAAUCUGCACCAUCGAGUGCAAAAGAGAACAGGGAAAAGCUCAAAAGACGUCCCUAAGGGGAUGCAGAGCUGUAAUCACUUCAAGGGUGACGAAGCUAUAAAAGUCGUUUCUAAGGGAGCACAGAAUAAGUCCCGAAGCUCAAAAGUCGUUCCCAAGGGAAUGCAGAGCCAAAUACCACCGAAAUAGAAGAUGAAGAAGCUCCAAAGUCGUUCAUAAGGGGAUGCAGAGCUUAAAUGCCACCGAAAUAGAAGGUGAAGAAGCUCCAAAGUCGUUCAUAAGGGGAUGCAGAGCUUAAAUGCCACCGAAAUAGAAGGUAAAGAAGCUCCAAAGUCGUUCCUAAGGGAAUGCAGAGCUUAAAUGCCACUGAAAUAGAAGGUGAAGAGACUUCAAAGUCGUUCCUAAGGGGAUGCAGAGUCUGGGUAUGGCUUCGUGUGCAUUUGGGUCAUACAUUUGCAUAUUACAUUACAUCAUUCAUUGCAUUCAUACAGACAUUCAUUAGACAUUCGUAGGAUCAUCAUCAUCAUGACAUGAAGCACGACCGAUAAUAUGAACAGAAAUAGUCCGGCUUCGGCGACAAAGUGCUUCGUUGAACACGAAGAAGCUUCGUUUCAAACAUGAAUACAUGCAUCUUAUGCAAGGAAAUGCUUUGAUGUGUACGAAAAGAAGGGAAGGUGUUUUUCGCCUUCAGCUCAAAAGUCACAUGGAUUUCGUCCACAACAAAGCAAUUCGCACAUGGAUGGAAAGGUAAAAUUAUAUUACAAGGUAUGGACAAAUAUAUAUAGUAUUGAGUUCAACUCUCGAUUACAAUUUUUUGCAAAAAUAAUGCAAAUAUAUUCUAAGCUCUAUACGGGAAGGCAUAAAAGGAAGCUUCAGCCCAGCAACCUUCGGAAUGUGCUUUGGAUUAUUAACCUUCGGCACCGCCAUCCUGCAGACAAACAAUGGUAUAAGGUAAAAGUGAUGAUAAAAAUCAAGGCAAACAACAGGUACAAGUUGUGUGCCGAUUUAAGCAGAUUUUGAGUUUCGUCUCCAUCCAACUCUCGUCCGCCUUUAGCCCAAAUUUGAGUAAUGAAUCUAUUUCCGAUACUUCGGGCCUCACCAGGAAUAUUAAUCAAGUCUGAUGGCGACAUGCUGAAGUUUGGCUUGUUUACUGUUUUUGCAUGCGUGCAUCCGACCUUCAAGAAUGCAGCAGCCGUGCCGCGAGAAGCUAACAGAGCAUAGAAGUCACCAUGCCUAGUUAUUACUUCAUCGAGUGCAUCAACUUCAUUCUCAAUGUGCUUGAAGGUAUCUGAUAUAUCUUCAGACGAACGAGCAAUUUCAUCAGAACUGGCCCCAACCGAGCUGAAGAUUCCUUUUAACCGUUGUACGCAACGGCUAGCAAAUUCCAAGCAUUUGUUCCGAAGAUCCCUCGAAGAUUCCUGCAGCUUCGUGUUUUUAUCAGCUUUGGCUUUACAUUUCGCUUGUAGUUUCUUCUUCUCUUCUUCAAAGCACUCUGAUUUCUUCUUUAAGGUUGUUUGAGCUUGGAGAAGCUCCUCGUUUAACCUAGCAUUUUCAGCUUGAAGCUCCACAAGGGAACCCUCCGCUGCUUGAAGCAAGAAGUCCUUCUUUUCAAGAGAAGCUUCACAAUCUUUGAUCUUGCUUUCCAAGCCCUCAAUUAUGAUCUCAUUUUUCUUAUCUUCGAGGUCUUAUUGCAUUCUCAAUGCUUUGCUCAGCAGCAUACUAUGUGAAAAUAAGCUGACUUCAGAAAAUUUUAAUUCAUCACAAAGAUAACAAAAAUCUAGGCAAAAGAAUUUUACCUUGAAAUUGGAGUAAAAGAGGCUGCCGAAGAUAUGUUGCCGCCGGUAACCACUAAUAUCAGACUCUAGCUUCGGGAAACCGACACUCUUUGAUAGAGUGUCGAAUAUUUUUGCCCCAGCUCGGUCGAGGAUACACCCCAGGAUUUCCUGAUCUACUCCACCGAAGAGCAUGGAUCCCAGCUGGUACCCACAAGAUUUUGCAUAUUCUUCCAGCUCCUCUUUCUCUGCCUCAGACAAUUCUUGACCCCCAGGUGCCGAGGUCAAAUUCUUUUCCUUUUGACAAAGUAUCAACAACUUCCUCAUCUUUGCCAGGCACCACAGCCACAAUUUCCUCUACGGUCGCAACUGCCUCCUCUACAACCAUAUCUGAUAUCAGCUUGUCAAUUCCUGACAUUGUGCUCAUAAGAUUAGCAGCUUCGGUAGCAGUUGCGGCUUCAACAGCAGUUUCAGCUUCGGCAGUGGUCUCAACCUUGGUACUUGCAACAGGCAUCAUUCUAGAAGCCAAGGCUGGAGGUGGUGUCCUCUCAAUAGCGUGCAUAACAUUGACAAUUCUUCGUCUCUUCUGACCUCUAGUAUUCUCCUUUAUAGUCAAAGGUUGAUCCUUCUUCUGUAAAAGUUUUGUCAGUUCUGGUCUCAGAGGACUUAGCAGCUGGAUGGGCAAGGAUUCAAUCAUUGCCUUUAGAAUUUCUGCUACUUCGGUAGCAGAGGGCCUUGGAGUUUCUUCUCUUGCCUCAGCUACCUUCGGCUCCGGUACUUUAGGAGACUACCGCUUUUGGCUCAGGAGCAGAUUUUGUCUUCUUUGCAAUCUUCUCAUCCUCCUUAACAAGUCUGGCAGUCUGUCUGUUUAAAAUACUAACAAUUCUCUUCCUUUUCAAACCUUCGGCACCCUUGUCAAAUCUUUCAUAGUCCGGAUAUUCAAAAUUUAGCGCGUCCAUCAUGUAAUUCAACCUUCGUUUUGGCCGGGUGCUGAAGGCAGUAGUCAUUAGUUGGUCCUCCUUCUUGGUAUAAUUACCAAGGAUUUCGUUGCACAUAGUUUCAAUCAUUUCCAGCCAUUCUUGGCAUGGUUUCUUGAACUCUUUCUCAAACUUGAACCGGUAGAGGAGCCGAACAAGUUCGUGCUUCUUGCCCACAUUCUUCUUCUUGGGCAUCCCCCAGCCACUAGAGGUCGGGAAUACUCUGUUUGCCAAGAAUUCCUGCACCAAAUCCCUAGUACUGACCUCGGCCGCUACCACUCUAAACUCCACUUCGGCUACAUGGCAUGGGGAGCCAAGCUGCAUGUGGCACAAGGGCCUCGUCAUUCCGAAGCUUAAAGUCAAUGGACUCAUAACCAUACUCAUCAGCUUCUCUAUCUUUUUCUCGUCUGCUUUCAUGUAAAACCAUUCACUCUUCCAACCAGUUGGCCACUUGGUGCAGUAGCUAAGAACUGGUGCCUUUGUAUCCUUUCGAUACGCAAAAUUGUAGCAGCCAAAAUUUUCAUGAAGGCCAUCUGCCCUAGCCUUCGUCUGGUAAUGCAGCUUGUGCACCCAGCAGAAAGCUUCGGCAUUAGGACUCAUCCCCUGGCUUCGGAGGGCCCAGAUGUAGACACUAAGUCUAACAAUUGCAUUGGGUGUCAAUUGAUGAAGGUAUAUUUCAAAAUUCUUCAAAACCUCUCCUAUCAUAUCAUAGAGAGGGAACCGAAGCCCCGCCCUGAAGAAGCUUUUAAACACAAUAAUUUCAUCAUCCUUCGGCUCUGGAACCACUUCUUCGCCAUCAAAACGAACAAGCCUACUCUCGACUUCUCCAAAGUAACCCAAUUUUUCAUUGUAACCAUAUCAUCUGCUGUCAUAAUAGAUCUACCAAAGUCAUGGUGACUAGGUUUUUCUGGGAUCAAGAUGGUGUAAUCUUCUUCGUCUUCAUUACCACUUCCCUCUCCAAUUGUGAUUCCCUCAGCUUCGGCAGUCAGAGUACCUUCGGCAACAGGCUCUUCUGAUACAACAAGACCCAACUGCCUCAUCACCUCUGAUAUUGGUGCCGUCUCAGUUACUUCGACCUUGUCUCCCUCGCGAGACACUCUAGCAGUCGAUCGCACUGUGGCCAUUUCAAUGUUUUCACUUUUUGACGAAGCUAAUUUCAAAUGAUGAAGCGUUUGCACGAGAGAGCAAUGCAGAAAUCUUCGGCUAUGGCUAAAUUUUUUAACAGCGCAACAGUGCAAUGGCAAUGAAUGCUGUGGUAACUCCUCACCAACCUAUCUAUUUAUAUAGUGCCGCAGGCGGGAAGGUGAACCGCCAGGCCGCUCGCACUCGCUGAACGGUGGACCGUCCAACGCCUUGAAUAUUAUAAUCGUUUCUCGACAACGAGCUCAGGGAAGGUGUUUUUCGGACCUUCGGCAUUCCGAAGCCUUCAAGUUUUUCGCGGAUCGAGCUCGUUACAAAAAACGAUCUAGCACCGCGAAGGGGCUACUUUUGGGGGCCUUCUUCUCCGCUGAAGGUUCUCUAAGCAAAAACACCUUCGACAGGACAAUACAUAAGCAGGUGUAGCAUGAAGAUAUAAGACGAAGCUACGAUUGAAGGAGCUUUGGCAUGGUGACAUGCUAAAGACGAAGGACGAUACCGACUUAAAGGGGAAAAGACUGAAUAGUCCCUGAUGAUCUGUAUUGUAAACAUAGUUAAUUAUCAGGGAUGUGGAUGUAAUUUUGUCCGGGCUGUGUCCCAUACCUAUAAAUAGAUGAAUAGUACCCUCGUACUGUUCAUGCUGAAUUGUAAUCACUCUUACGUCACGCCCGCCUUUUUGCCUUCUGUGAAGCCGAAGGUAUGCCCUUCAUGACCUUCGUUCGAAGAUCAUUAUAUCUCAAGGGAAAUAAUGCUUAGAAGGACGAAGGUCUCUAAUCGUUAACAAUUGUGUUGCUUUGUUCUUGGUGUAUAGCAUCCGAGAACAAGGACCAACAGUGACUACUAUACCCUACUAACGGAGUGAUCGACUUAAGUCGGUGCAACACGCUCACGCUUACAUGACUUAGGGUGAUUACUAUACCCUACCAACAGAGUGAUCGGCUUAAGUAAGAAACACUUUAACUCGAUGCAACACAGUCAUGCUUACAUGACUGAGGGUGACCACCAUACCCAACUAACAAAGCGAUCGACUUAACAGCAGAAACCUAGGGUGUGCGCUGUGCCCCACUAGAAGAAACAUUCAACAAAGUGGGGGAGUGUUGGAGACUUGUUCUCAAAUGCUAUGAAUUAAGAACAAGGCAACACAAAAAUAGGUUAAUGGUUAAUGUCCUUCGUCCUUCGAAGCAUUAUUUCCCCAAGGAUAUAAGGAUCUUCAGACGAAGGUUAUGAAGGACAUACCUUCAUAAUCACAGUAUAUAACAAUGAAAGACGAAGCAUAUGAAACAUGGGAAAUAACAUGAAUAAUUAUAUGAAAUCAUAAUAUGUCUUUUAUUAUAUAAUUAUGAAUGAAUAAGAGUAAUAUUGAAUUACAUUUGUACCUUCAGCUUGACAGAAGAUAGAAAGUACAAGCGUGAUACACAAGCGAGUACGAGUCAACGUGAACAGUACGGGGGUACUGUUCACCUAUUUAUAAGCACGGGACGCAGCCCGGUCAAAAGUACAUUUAUGUCCUCUACAACUAGUUACAAUCAUGACACAAAUUAUCAUGGGCCGAUCGGUCUUUUCAUCUUUAAGUCGGUGCAACCCUUCGUCUCAGGCGUUGUUGGGGGCCUUCGUCCUCUGAAGGUCCUCAAAAACGUAAUUUAACAGUGUCUUCCAAGCAUGGUUUAUAGACAGGUACCUUCGGAUUCAGGAUUAAAGGCAUAUACGAUGAGAAGGGCAUGAUCGUGAUGAAGGUUGCCGUUACUUUGAAGCUAUGCACAAAGGAGCUUCGGCUCAAUCGCGGGAAAAGGAACCGACUUAAAGGGGAAAAGGCUAUCCAGUCCUCAUAGAUUUUUCUAUAAGCCAAUAGUAAAUGUAAAGGGCAUGACUGUAAUUUCUCACAGGAUGUGUCCUGUGCCUAUAAAUAGAUGAACAGUACCCCCGUAAUGUAUCACACUGACUUGUACUUGCUCGUGCGUCACGCUUGUAUGUUUACCUUCUGUCAAGCCAAAGGUACGUUUGUAAUUCAAUAUUAUUUCUAUUUUUCCAUGAUAGUAAAAUGGGAACGAGUUAAUAAUUUUAUAUAAUUACUUAUGAUAUCUCUUACAUCUCAUAUGCUUCUCCUUUUAUUAACAUUUACUGCGAUGAUGAAGGUAUGUCCUUCACGACCUUCAUCUGAAGAUCAUUAUAUCCUGAGGGAAAUAAUGUUUUGAAGGACGAAGGGCAUUAACAUUUAAUAUUUUUGUGUUGCCUUGUUCUUAAUUCAUAGCACUGGAGAACAAGUCCCCAACAUUGGCGCCCACCUCCGGUGAACCCUUUUCGACCACCUUCGGCAAGCACUGACCUUCGUCAUGCCGCCGAAGAAAGCUUUAGCACCAGGGACCGCUGCACUACAGCCGCUGGACCCAAACCAAGAAACUCUUUCUCGUCGAGAGGCUCGAAGCCAGAAGAGGAAAGCCACCAGUCCAACACUCCAGGAAGAGGAGUUGGACCAAGAGAUCAGGGAUAUGGAGAUAAUCCAUUAGCAAGUACAAAGGAAGAAGGAGAAGAUGGCGCGAUUGGCUGAUCUUCAAAGGAAGAUCGAUGAAGCCACUGAAGAGGUGUGUCAUCUUGUUCAAGAUGAACAAGAUCGAAGGCCCCAACACAGGGAGCUUUGUCAAGAAGGCCUAUUCAACGAGGAUGCAUGGUAUGAUGAUUUUAAUCAUGAUGCCUUUACUUUUGAUGAUGCUUCUCCCUUGGCAGUAGAACUGCAGGCUACCCCAUGGCCCCCAUCAUACAAGCCACCUCAGCUCCCCAUGUAUGAUGGACACUCAGAUCCAAAGCAGUUUCUGAUGAGCUACGAAGCAACUAUAUCUUCGUAUGGGGGCAACACUGCAGUCAUGGCGAAGUCCUUCGUCAUGGCAGUCUGGAAUGUAGCCCAAACAUGAUAUUCUUCUCUUCGGCCAGGGACCAUCACGUCAUGGCAGAAGCUUAAGGACAUGUUGGUUACCAGCUUCCAAGGCUUUCAAAUGAAGCCGGUCACAGCUCAGGCUCUGUUCCAAUGUACACAAGACCACGAAGAAUACCUUCAGGCCUAUGUACGAAGGUUCUUGCGACUAAGGGCACAAGCGCCUACAGUGCCCAAUGAGAUUGUCAUUGAGGCCAUGAUUAAGGGCCUUUGGCCAGGACCUACGGCUCAGUACUUCGCAAGGAAGCCCCCGCAAACUCUGGAGUAGCUGCUUCAGAAGAUGGAUGAGUACAUCCGAGCUGAAAACGACUUCCGCCAAAGAAGGGAGGAAGCUUACAGAUUCUCUGAAAUGACAAGGGGCUUUGGAGGAAGAGUCCAUUCGAGGCACGUCAGGUCAAUCCACUACUCCACUCAAAGUGAUGACAAAGGAAGUCAGUCUUAGAGGUCACAAUAUACCUCACAAUCUUCGGGGCAACAACAAAGCUCCUUCAGGCCACCAGCUCCAAGGGGCAGAGGCGCCAGGGGCUUCAGAGGAAGGUUUGGGGAUCAGCCUAGAAAGAUUUACUGCUUAUUCUGUGGUGAGGACAAGGGCCAUACUACAAGAAUGUGCCAUGUCACCAUUCAGAAACAAAAGGAAAUAGCAGAAGCCUAAGCCCGACAGAACCAGCCGAAGCAGGUCUUACACACUGCUUCGUGUCACUCUCCUUACAUACCAGAGUAUGUGAACAAUCAUCCUGCAGCUAUUGUCGCUUCGGCUAGCCAUUCACAGGCCUCCUGGCCACAACUCCCGCCUCCGCCACCACUACAACCGACCUAUUCUCGAAGCUAGCAGCCAGAAGGGCGUCAGCACUCUCAACAGUAACGGGAAUUCAGGGAGGAAUCCGAAGCUCGCACAGUAAACAGUACUGUGCAAGAAUCAAAACACAUCUAUUGAGAGGUAUCCUACCUACAAAAUUUUUUUACGUUCAUUGUCAUUUUGUUUUAAGGAACAAUCAAUGUAAACCUAGUUUUAAUUUCUUGUAAUAGCUUCGCUCCUGUCAGAGUGGAAUAUAUCUUCUCCACAAACUCACGAAGCUCAAAAAUUUGCUGAAGCUCAAAAGACGUUCCUAAGGGAAUGCAGAGCUAAAAAUCGCAUUGCAAGUUUCACCAAAGCUACAAAAAGUCGUUCCUAAGGAGCAAAGCAUAAGUUUCACCGAAGCUACAAAUAGUCGUUCCUAAGGAGCGCAGCGUAAGUUUGCCGAAGCUACAAAAAGUCGUUCCUAAGGGAGUGCAAUGUAAGUUUUCUGCUCAAAAGUCGUUCCAAAGGGAAUGCAGAGCCAAAUACCGCCAAAAUAUAAGGCGAAGCGCGAAAAGUCAAUGCGAAUACUGCUGAAAUAGAAGGCGAAGAAGUUCAAAAGACGUUCCUAAGGGGAUGCAGAACUUACACCAAAAAAUAAGUGGUGAAGCCGAAAAAUAAACGGCAAAGAGAUUUUGAUCGUUCCUAAGGGGACGCAGAGAUUGUGUUUCAGCGUGGGUAUGUGUCUUCGACAUUAGCAUCAUUCUUUGCAUCAUAUCAUCGCAUCAUAUCGCAUAGCAUCACAUCAUACAUCAUAUAACAUCAAUGACAUGAAUUGGAAACGAAGCUGAUCUUCGGAGAAUGCUUUACAAAAAUGAAAAGGUGCUAAGGCACAAAGUAAGCUGAGAAUUACAGCUUCAUCAGUUCUAAUGUGGAAGAAAGGAUCUAUUGUUAACGAAGCAUUGAUGUUUUUACAAAGUUUGGAUGUUCUUUACGAAGUGUGGAUGUUCUCACGAGGCAUAAAAAUUCUUCUUUACGAAGCAUGAAAAGAAGGGAAGGUGUUUUUUCGCCGAAGGCUAAAAAACGGUAUGUAUAUAAAAGUUUCAUGCAUCGCAAAGAAGUGCAUUGCAAAAUAGUUUACAUGUUAGAUUCAAAACUAUACACAUCAAAUAUUACAGGAUUAGUUUAACAAAUAAUACAUUAAUCACUUAAGAACGUUUUUUACAGCAACUACUGUUCUUCCUUCAGAACUUUCUCCGCAACUUCGUUAAGCAGUUUGUUGACGACUUUGUCAACAAUAGAUUCGGCAAUGUUGAUAAUUUCUAUUGCUUUCUUCAUCUCCGGAUCGGCCAGGGGGUCGAACGGCUCCGGUGGAGGAGGUAAUUCAGCUACGAUAGAAAAAAUCAAUCAGUUCGAAGCCACGAAAACAAACGACGAAGCUAAAAGCCAUUAAACGAUACCUAUCCGUCUCUCGAGUUCUGCAGCUUUCUGAGCUUUUUUCACUGCUUCUCGAGCGUCAUGAAUAUCUUUUUUGCUCUUCUUCAUUAUUUCAUGAGCCAUUUCUCGGCUGCCAUUUUCCCAAAUAUCAGUGAAAAAUUUGCCGCCCAUUAAACUUGCUUCGGCCGAGGGAUCCUUAGUGUCAUCCACGGAGAAGGCAGCUUCGGCCUGAGCUAGGGAUUUAACAUGAUUGCAACCCGCCUUCUCCAAGAUAGCUGAAACUCCUCUCGCACCAGAGAACACACAGACAUCCCCACGAUCACUUAAAAUUUCCUCAAAAGCUUCGGCUUCUCCGUUGAUCCACUCGAUAACACCCUCAGGGUCGCCUCGUAUGAAGUUGUCUUCGUUUGAAUAGGCGCCCACGCUGGCGAAGCUAGACUUCAUCUUCUUCACGCACCCCACAGAUUUUUCAAAACAUCUUUCCUUGGAUGUGCGAAGCUCUGCAACUAUUUUUUCUAAAUAUUUUUUCCAAUAUUCGCUGGCAUCUCGAUUAGCUUCAGCGACAGCGCAUUUUUCUUUGGCCUCAGCUAAUUGUUUCCGAAGGUCUUCGAUUUCAUUCUUCUGGGCCUUAGCUUGAGCUUUGGAACUAGCUUCAUCUUCUUUUAUUUUGUUUACCAAUGAAAUUAAUAUCUUGUCUUUCUCAAGACCUUCAUUCCUUAGUUCAAUCACCUCCGAACGAAGGUUGUUCAGAGCCAUUGUAUACCCUUCAUCUUCAAUGUUUUUCUGUGCUCUAAGAGCAUUGCUAAGGAUUAAGCCCUGCAAGAGGAGGACAUGAUUAGAUAUAAGCAAAUAAAACAACUCGUUUUCAAAAUACAAAAUUAACUUUUAUACCUUUAUGCUAUUAUAUGCUAAACUAUCAGCCAAUUCAUCUUUUGACAAAACUGAGAGCCCAUCUUCUAGCUUCAGAAAUCCGAAGCUUCUACCCAUCUCUCGGCAGACGGUUAUCUCUUUACUAUCACAAGGACAGUACAAAAAAUCUUCCUCCCCGCUGACAUUGAACACUAAUGCCCCCUUCGGGUAUUUCAGUUUUUGGGCAUAAUGUUGAGUUUCUCGUUCUUCUUCUUUAGAGAGUCCUUUUCUCGAAGCAUGGCGGAUGAUGUAUUCAAUGCUCUCUUUUAAAGCUUCAGGAGCAGGAGUGGCAACCUUUUUAGGUGAAACUUGCUCUGUGGCCUUUUCUUCUGUUGCCCUUUCUUCAAUUUCCAAAGGUUUUUUCUUGGUGAGCUCUGAAGGCCCAGCUUCAGUACUAUCUUGGAUUACUGCAGCUUCAAUUUCGGCCGACUUUGUUUCAGCUUCGGUUUGCACUUUUGAAGCCUCGGUGAUUUUCCCUGAAGGAGUAGAGCUUAAAGCCUUUACUGUUUCUAACACAUCUAGUACAUUUGCCAUCCUUCUCCUCUUAAGAGUUGCGGCAGAACUUUUUUGUGCCUUCGGCACUGUUACUUCCGAUGAAGGGCUUAAAAUUCCUAGCGUUUUUGUUUCUUCAAUAUUUGGCUUUUCAGCUUUAUUUUCCUCAGUCUUUGACUCAGCUAGUUCAACCGAAGCUUCCUUCGGCAUUGUAGCUGGCUCUUCAACCUUCUACGUAGGAGGAAUGAGCACUUUUGGUUCAGCAGCUAAAGAAGUCUCCUCGCCAAACUCAGGCACCACAGCCGGUUCAAUAUAGCGUGGCCGGUGGGUAAGGACCUUCAACUUUUUGCCCUUCGGCGCAGGCUCGACUGGAGUGGCCGAAGCAGCAGUUUCCCUCUUCUUUCUCUAACCUCGCAGUGGAUAGCGGUAGUUGGGGUAGACAAAGCCAAUAGCGUCAAAAACUCUGUUCAAUCUCUUUUUCCCCGACCUCCGAAGGAUGUGGAUAAUGCAUUGUCUUCCGCCUUGGAGUAUGAUCCAGGCAGUUCAUCACUGGUAACUUCGAUGCAUUUUAGCCAGUCAUCGUUUGGUUCAUCAAAUUUAUCUCCGUAUCUGAAUGCGUACUUUAGCCGGACCAGUUCACCUUCAUUAGAUUCGAUGAUGGUCUCCUUCGGCAUUUCCCAGCUCUCUAUAAGCGGCCAUACUCUGUAUGCUAUGUGCUCUUGAACCAAGUCUCUUGUACCAAUAAAGAAGCAGACAGUACCAAAUGCCUUCUGACAUGCUUCGGCGGCUUCGUCAAUUUCAACCUUUGGCCUUCGGAGGCCGAAGCGGGACCAAAUGGGGAGCAUAAUAACUUCCUUAAUAUCUUCUCUUGCCUUCAAGUCAUUCUUCACGUAAAACCAUUCCUCCAUCCAGGCCCCGGGCCACCUUUUUCGGUAUGUUGGCACCGAGUAGCUUGCGUUGGGGCGGGCGAUAAAUCCAUAACAGCCAAAAUUGUUAUGAUAUUGUUCCUUGCCCAUGGCCUUCGUCUCAUAUGCAAGUUCAUGCAUGCUGCAAAAACAUUUCACGCUUGGCUCCAAGCCCUGGCUUCUCACAGCCCAAACAAAAAUCCCCAUUCUGAUAAUAGCUUCGAGGGUUAUCUGAUGAAGGUAAAUCUGAUAAAUUUUCAACACUUCAACCACAAACCUGCUCAAUGGAAACCGAAGCCCAGCUUUGAAAAAUUUUCGGUAAAUCACAACUUCGUCUUCCUCAGAGGCAGAGACGUUGUUGUCUCCACCAACUCUCACAAUAGACAUAUCUCGAAAGUACCUUCCUCUCAUAUUGUCAAGAUGACUCUAUUUAAUUAUCGAUUUCCCAAAAAUUGUAUGACUUGGCCUCCACGACCGAUCCUCGGAAUCUUCUCCCCCGCUUUCAGUAUCAUAAUCGUCACCAUCACCGGUAUCUUCAGACAGACCUUCUAGGAUCUCCUUAGUAAUUUUCUCUGUAUUUGACUUCGCCAUUGACUCGAUAAUCCCAGCUAUAUAAGGAUUUGCAGCCUUCUUCUCUUCAAAGAGCUUCUCCUCUUCAGACAGCUUUGUCUCAGCAACAACCCUCUUGUCUUGAGACAUCUUUUCUUCGAAAAUGACGAAAACGUGUCCUUCAAACCAAAGCUUAGAAAGCAUGAGAAACUAGCAAGUGUUGGUGAGCAAGAGCUAUAAAAUUGAGAAAACAAAGCAAAUGGCACAAGCAGCGUACCAAAUGUGGUUGGUGCAAGUUCUUAUUUAUACGCUCGUCACGCCCCGAAUUGGAGGGUCCCGUCUGUCAUUGACUGUUGCUAUUCUAGCAAAGGGAAGGUGUUUUUUCGGACCUUCGGCUUAAGGCCUUCGUCCAUGUUGCAGUCUGAAUUCGUUAUCUUAAACAAAUUAAUACUGCGAGGGGCUACUAUUGGGGGCCUUCGUCCUCCGAAGGUCCUCAAAAACGUAAUUUAACAGUGUCUUCCAAGCAUGGUUUAUAGACAGGUACCUUCGGAUUCAGGAUUAAAGGCAUAUACGAUGAGAAGGGCAUGAUCGUGACGAAGGUUGCCGUUACUUCGAAGCUAUGCGCAAAGGAGCUUUAGCUCAAUCGCGGGUGUUGGGGACUUGUUCUCAAAUGCUAUGAGUUAAGAACAAGGCAACACAAAAAAUGUUAAACGUUAAAGUCCUUCGUCCUUCGAAGCAUUAUUUCCCUUGGGAUAUAAUGAUUUUUGGACGAAGGUUAUGAAGGACAUACCUUCAUCAGCGCAACAUAUAAUAAUGAAGAGAGAAUCAUAUGAAAUAUAAAAGAUAACAUGAACAAUUAUGUAUUAUUAUCAACUCAUUUCUAUUUUAUCAUUGUGGAAAAAUAGAAAAGAUAUCAAAUUACAAAUGUACCUUCGACUCGAAAGAAGGUAAGAGUACAAGCGUGACGCAAAAGCAAAUGCCAAGUCAGCGUGAACAGUACGGGGACACUGUUCAUCUAUUUAUAGGCACGGGACGCAGCCCAUGUAAAAUUACACUCAUGCCCUUUACAUUUGCUAAUGACUCUAUAGUAAUCCAUCGAGGUUUGAAUAGCCUUUUCCCAUUUAAGUUGGUUCCCCUUUCUGCUAUCACGCUGAAGGUCCCUUGCGCAUAGCUUCGGCUCUACGCCAACCUUCGCAUUUUUUGUACUUCUUCAUAUUUUGGUUCUGAUCCGAGUCUGAAGGUACCUGUUCAUAUAUUAUACUCCAGAAACAUUGUUAAAUCAUGUUUUUGAGGACCUUCGGAAGACGAAGGCCCCCAACAGUAGCCCCUCGCAAGGUUAAUUUGUUAGAAUAACAAAUUCAGAUUGCGAUAUGGACGACGGCCCUAAGCCGAAGGUCCGAAAAAACACCUUCCCUUUGCUAGAAUAGCAACAGUCAAUGACAACCGGGGCCCUCCAACUUGGAGCGCGCUGGGCGUAUAAAUAAGAACUCACCCCGAGCAUAUUUGGUAUGCUUACUUUGCUUUGCUUGAUUUCUUAGCCCUUGCUUUUCAACAGUUGCUUUGUUUCUUAAGUUUUCUGAGCUUCGGAUUAAGGGAUAUUUAAAGACAAGAUGUCUCAAGACAAGAAGACAAUUGCUGAAAUGAAGCUAACCGAAGAGGAGAAGCUUCUUGAGGAAAAGACUGCUGGAUUCAUUGAGUCAAUUGCAAAGACAAAUACAGAAAAGAUUACGAAAGAAAUUCUAGAAGGCUUAUAUGAAGAUACCGAUGACAACGAUAGUUAUGAUGCAGAAAGCGGGGGCAAAGACUCCGAAGAUCGGCCCUGGCGACCAAGUCAUGCAGUCUUCGGGAAAUCGACUAUCAGACAGAGCCAUCUUGAUAACAUGAGAAGAAGGUAUUUUCGAGACAUGUCUAUUGUGAGGGCUGACAAUAGAGACAUGACUGUUCCUGUUCCUGAAGAGAAUGAAGUCGUAAUCUACCGAAGCUUCUUCAAGGCUGGGCUUCGGUUCCCCUUAAGCAGAUUUGUGGUCGAAGUUCUAAAGAUAUAUGAGAUUUUCCUUCACCAGAUUACCCUCGAAGCAAUUAUCAGAAUGGGGAUCUUCGUCUGGGCCAUGAGGAGUUAAGGUUUGGAGCCAAGUGCAAAAUGUUUCUGCAGCAUGCACAAACUUUUAUAUGAGACGAAGCCCUGGGGUAAAGAACAAUAUCAUAAUAAUUUUGGUUGCUACAACUUCGUUGCUCGUUCGGGCUCAAGCUGCCCAGUGCCAACCUUUCGGAAGAGAUGGCCUGGAGACUAGAUGAAAGAAUGAUUCUAUGUGAAGAAUGAUUUAAAGGCGAGAGAAGACAUUACAGAGAUCACCAUGCGCCCCAUUUAGUCUCGCUUCGGCCAUUGAAAACCGAAGGUAGAAAUUGAUGAAGCAGCCGAAGGAUGCCGAAGGGCCUUCGACAUAGUUUGUUCUUUCAUCGGGACAAGGGAUCUAGUCCAGGAACAUGUGGCCUACAGGAUAUGGCCAUUGGUAGAUAACUGGGAGAUGCCAAAAGAGACCAUCAGCAACCCUAACGAAGGUGGUUUGGUUCGAUUGAAAUAUACCUUCAGGUUUAGAGAUCAAUUUAUCGAACCAGACGAUGACUGGCUGAAAUGUGUUGAAAAUACCAGUGAUGAACUACUUGGAGCCUACUCCAAGUCUGAAGAUAACACACUAUCUGCGGCCUUCGGGAGCCGAAAAAAGAAGAGGCUAAAUAGAGUUUUUGAUGCUAUUGGAUUUUUGUACCCUGACUACCGCUACCCACCACGGGGGCAGAAGAGAAAGAGCGCAACUUAUGGGAAGGAUGUUGCUUCAGCUGCUCCAAGCGAGCCCGCGCCAAAGAGGAAAAAGGUGAAGGUUCUUACUCACCGACCUCGCUAUAUUGAACCGGCCAUAGUGCCUGAAUUUGGUGGUGAGAUCUCUUCGGCUACUGAAGCCAAAGAACCUGCGCUUACGGAGAUGAUUGAAGAGCCGGCUGCAAUGUCGAAGGCAUCCUCAACCAAAUUAGCUGAGCCGAAGGCCGAUAACACUGAAGAGAUGAGAGUCGAGGGAACGGAGAUAUUAGAAGUGACAGCGCCGAAGGCAUAAAAGGGUCUUACAACGACCCCUAAGAGGAAAAGAAUGGCCAGUGUACUAGAUGUGCUGGAGACGAUAAAAACUUCAAGCUCUACUCCAGGGAAAACUGCCGAGGCUUCAAAAGCGCAGACUGAGCCAAAGCUGACUGAAGCCGAAGCUACAAAGAGCCAGGUCGAGACCGAAGAUGGGCCUUCAGAGCCUGCCAAAGAGAAAUUCUUGGAAACCGGAGAAAAGGCAACGGAAAAAGAAGCUGUAGAACAAAUUCUGCCUAAAAAAGUUGGUACUCCUACUCCCGAAGCGUCUUCCGAAGCUCUUGAUUAUAUUAUACGACAUGCUUCGGGGAAAAGAUUAUCUGGAGAAGAGAUUUUUGAAGCUAAACACUAUGCCCGAGAACUGAAAUAUCCGAAGGGGGCCUUAGUGUUCAAUGGCACGGACGAGGAUGACUUCUUAUACUGCCUCCCAGACAACAAAGAAUUAUCUGUCUGCCGGGAGAUGGCUAGAAGUAUGGGGUUCCCGAAGCUUGAAGCUGGCCUCUGCGCUAUGUCGAAGGACGAUCUUGCAGAUACCCUCGCAUAUAACAGUCUGAAGGUACAAAAAUUUUAUAUUUAGAAGUUUAUAAAUUUUGAAUUAUUCUUUUGCUCUUAUACUAAUUCUUUUCAUAUAGGGUUUAAUACUUAGCAAUGCCUUGAGGGCACAAAAGAAUGCCGAAGAUGAGAGCUAUACUAUUGCUUUCAACAACCUCCGAACAGAGGUUAUUAAGCUGAGGAACGAAGCUUUGGAAAAAGAUAAAAUUCUACUCACUCUGGUGGAUAAGAUAAAGGGGGAUGAAGCUAACUACAAGACCCAAUCUGAAAUCCAAAAGAGCGAGAUCGAAAACCUUCAAAAGCAACUGGCCGAAGCUAAAUUGAAAUGUGCUAUUACCGAAGCUGACCGAGACGCCAGUGAUUACUGGAAAAAUUAUUGGGAAAAAACAGUUGCAGAACUUUGCACAUCAAAAGAAAAAUGUUUUGAAAAAUCUAUAGAAUGUGUGAACAAGAUAAAAACUAGCUUCACUAAUGUUGGCGCGUAUUCAAGUGAAGAUAACUUCGUACGAGGCGACCCCGAAGGGCCAAUUGAGUGGAUCAGCAACGAAGCCGAAGCUUUUGAAUAAAUUUUGAGCGACCGCGGGGACGUCUGCGCCUUCUCUGGUGCAAGAGGAGUCGCGGCUAUUUUGGAGAAAGCAGGGUGUGAACAUGUGAAAACUUUGGCGCAAGCCGAAACUGCUUUAUCUAUUGAUGAUACGAAGGACCGCUCGGCCGAAGCAAGCUUAGUUGGUGGAAAAUUCUUCACUGACAUCUGGGAAAAUGGCGACUGAGGGGUGGCCCACGAAAUAAUAAAGAAGAGCGAAAAAGAUACUCAUGAUGCUAGGGAAGCAACGAAGGCGGCUGAAAAAGCUGCGGAACUCGAAAGGCGGAUAGGUAUUGCUUAAUAGCUUUUAACUUUAUUGUUUAUUUUUGUGACUUCGAACUUAUUUACGUUUUCUACCGCAGCCGAACUAUCUCCUCCCUAGAGCCCUUCGAGUCAUUGGUCGAUCCAGAGGCAAAGAAAUCAACAGAAAUUAUUAAUAUGGCCGAAAGCAUUAUGGACGAAGUCGUUACCCAACCGCUGACCGAAGCUGCAGACAAAGUUUUGAAAGAAGAAGAAUAGAUAUUGUAAAAAUAUUGCUAGAAUAUUAAUGUAACAUUUGCUGGACUAUGUUUGUAAUAUUUGGUGCUCAUGGGUUUUGAAUGUAAUAUAUAAAUAAUUUUGUAAUUCAUUUCUAUACGAUGCAUGAAAUUUUUAUGUACAUACCGUUUUUGAGCCUUUGGCGAAAAAACACCUUCCCUUCUUUUCAUGCUUCGUAAAGAAGAGCUUUUAUGCUUUGUGAAAAAUCCUCCAAUCAUCGCAAAAAACUUUAAUGCUUCGUCAACAAUAGAUUUUUCCUCCAUAUCAUAGUGCUUCGUAAAAAAUCCUCCAGACGUUGCCAAAACAUUAAUGCUUCGUCAACAAUAGAUUUUUUCAUACAUAUCAGAGCUGAUGAAGCUGUAUUUCUUCAAAACUUAUUUUGUGCCUUAGCACAAUUUCGCUUUUUCGAAGCAUUCUCCGAAGAUCAACAUUGUAUCCCCUUCAUGUGCCAUUGAUGCAACAUGAUGUAUGAUGUUAUGUUAUGCGAAAUGAUGUAAUGAUGUUAUGCUAUGCAAAAUGAUUUUUUUGCCGAAGACACACACACACAUCCCCACAGUGGAAUACACAAUCUCUUUGCCGUUUAUUUUUCGGCUUCACCGCUUAUUUUUCGGUGUAUCAGCGCUGACUUUUCGCUGUAAGUUCUGCAUUCCCUUAGGAACGUCUUUUGAACUUCUUCGCCUUCUAUUUCGGCGGUAUUCGCGUUGACUUUUCGCGCUUCGCCUUAUAUUUCGGCGGUAUUUGGCUCUGCAUUCCCUUUGGAACGACUUUUGAGCAGAAAACUUACACUGCGCUCCCUUAGGAACGACUUUUUGUAGCUUCGGCAACUUACGCUGCGUUCCGUAGAACGACUUUUUGUAGCUUCGGUGAUACUUAUGCCGCGUUCCUUAGAACGAUUUUUGGUAGCUUCGGCGAGUCUGUGUAGAAGAUAUAUUCCACUAUGGCAAAAACGAAGCUAUUACAAGAAACGAAAAAUGACGAGAGAACUAAGUUUUCAAUAAUUGUUCCUUAUUAAAAAAGAAAAUGGCAAUGAAUGUAAAAACUGUUUCAGGAGUAGGAUAUCUCUCAGUAGAUAUGCUUCGAUUCUAGCACUGUACUGUUGACUGUAUGAGCUUCGGACUCCUCCCUGAAGUCUCGUUGCUGAUGGGUCUGCUGACUUCCUUCUGGCUGCUGGCUUCGUGAAUACACAAGUUGUAGUUGUGGCAGAGGUGGAGGUUGUUGCCAUGAUGCCUGUGGCUGGCUAGCCGAAGCAACAGAAGCUGCAGGAUGGUUACCUACAUACUCUGGUAUGUAUGGUGAGUGAUAUGAAGCAGUGUGCAUGACCUGCUUCGGCUGGUUUUGUUGGGUUGCAGCUUUUGCUAUUUCCUUCUGUUUCUGAAUGGUGACAUGGCACAUCCUUGUAGUAUGGCCCUUGUCCUCACCACAGAAUAGGCAAUAAAUUUUUUUGGGCUGAUCCCCAAACCUUCCUCCGAAGCCCCUGGCGCCUCUGCCUCUUGGAGCUGGCGGCCGAAUAUAGCUUUGUUGCUGCCCAGAAGCUUGUGAGGAGUAUUGUGGCCUCUGUUGUUGACUUCCUCUGUCGUCACUCUGGGUUGAGUGAAUUGACCUGACAUGUCUUGGGUGGAUUCUACCUCCAAAGCCCCUGGUCAUCUCAGAGACCUGUAGGCUUCCUCCCUUCUUUGGCGAAAAUCAUUGUCACCACGGAUGUAUUCAUCCAUCUUUUGGAGCAGCUUCUCCAAAGUCUGUGGAGGCUUUCUAGCAAAAUACUGGGCAGUAGGUCCUAGACGAAGCCCCUUGAUCAUGGCCUCAAUGACAAUUUCAUUGGGCACUGUAGGCGCUUGUGCUCUCAGGCGCAAGAACCUUCAGACAUAUGCUUGGAGAUAUUCCUCAUGGUCUUGCGUGCAUUGAAACAAAGCCUGAGCUGUAACUGGCUUCGUCUGAAAGCCCUGGAAGCUUGUCACCAGCAUGUCCUUAAGCUUCUGCCAUGAAGUGAUAGUUCCUGGCCGAAGAGAAGAAUACAAUGUCUGGGCCACAUUCUUAACUGCCAUGACGAAUGAUUUGGCCAUGACGGCUGCAUUGCCUCCGUAUGAAGAUAUGGUUGCUUCAUAACUCAUCAAAAACUGCUUUGGACGAAUGCCCAUCAUACAUUGGAAGCUGAGGUGACUUGUAUGAUGGUGGCCACGGGAUAGCCUGUAGUUCUGCUACCAAGAGAGAAGCAUCAUCAAAAGUAAAGGUAUCAUGAUUAAAAUCAUCAUACCAUCCAUCAUCGUUGAACAAGCCCUCUUGAUGAAGUUCCCCGUGUUGGGGCCUUCGGUCUUGCUUGUCUUAAGUAAGGUGACGUACUUCUUCAGUAGCUUCGUCAAUCUGCCUUUGUAGGUCAGCUAGUCGAGCCAUUUUCUCCUUCUUCUUUUGCACUUGCUGAUGAAGCAUCUCCAUAUUUCUGAUUUCUUGGUCCAACUCAUCCUCUUGGGGUGUUGGACUGGUGGCCUUCCUCUUCUGGCUUCGGGCCUCUCGAAGAGAAAGGGUCUCCUGGUUUGGGUCCAGCGGCUGCAGAGCGGCAGCCCCUGUCGCUGAAGCUUUCUUCGAUGGCAUGACGAAGGUCAGUGCUUGCCGAAGGUGGUCGAAAAGGAUUCACCGGAGGUGGGCGCCAAUGUUGGGGACUUGUUCUCAAAUGCUAUGAGUUAAGAACAAGGCAACACAAAAAAUGUUAAACGUUAAAGUCCUUCGUCCUUUGAAGCAUUAUUUCCAUUGGAAUAUAAUGAUUUUCGGACGAAGGUUAUGAAGGACAUACCUUUAUUAGCGCAACAUAUAAUAAUGAAGAGAGAAUCAUAUGAAAUAUAAAAGAUAACAUGAACAAUUAUGUAUUAUUAUCAACUCAUUUCUAUUUUAUCAUUGUGGAAAAAUAGAAAUGAUAUCAAAUUACAAAUGUACCUUCGGCUCGAAAGAAGGUAAGAGUACAAGCGUGACGCAAAAGCAAAUGCCAAGUCAGCGUGAAUAGUACGGGGCACUGUUCAUCUAUUUAUAGGCACGGGACGCAACCCAUGUAAAAUUACACUCAUGCCCUUUACAUUUGCUAAUGACUCUAUAGUAAUCCAUCGAGGUUUGAAUAGCCUUUUCCCUUUUAAGUCGGUUCCCCUUUCUGCUAUCACGCCGAAGGUCCCCUGCGCAUAGCUUCGACUCUGCGCCAACCUUCGCAUUCUUUGUACUUCUUCAUAUUGUGGUUCUGAUCCAAGUCCGAAGGUACCUGUUCAUAUAUUAUACUCCAGAAACGUUGUUAAAUCAUGUUUUUAGGACCUUCGAAAGACGAAGGCCCCCAACAGCGGGAAAAGGAACCGACUUAAAGGGGAAAAGGCUAUCCAGUCGUCAUAGAUUUUUCUAUAUGCCAAUAGUAAAAGUAAAGGGCAUGACUAUAAUUUCUCACAGGCUGUGUCCUGUGCCUAUAAAUAGAUGAACAGUACCCCCAUACUGUUCACACUGACUUGUACUUGCUCUUGCGUCACACUUGUAUUUUUACCUUCUGUCAAGCCGAAGGUACAUUUGUAAUUCAAUAUUAUUUCUAUUUUUCCAUGAUAGUAAAAUGGGAACGAGUUAAUAAUGUUAUAUAAUUACUUAUGAUAUCUCUUACAUCUCAUAUGCUUCUCCUUUUAUUAACAUUUACUGCGAUGAUGAAGGUAUGUCCUUCACGACCUUCAUCUGAAGAUCAUUAUAUCCUGAGGGAAAUAAUGUUUCGAAGGACGAAGGGCAUUAACAUUUAAUAUUUUUGUGUUGCCUUGUUCUUAAUUCAUAGCACUUGAGAACAAGUCCCCAACAGGCGUAUCGUUAUGCCGAAGCUCCCUGGAUGAUAGCUUCGGCGUUACUUCUGUGCUGAUCUUCCGAAGGUGUUUCUUCUUACAGGACCUUUGGCGACGAAGCAGACCCCCAACAAUAGCCCCUUCGCGGUGCUAGAUUGUUUUUCGUAACGAGCUUGAUCCGUGAAAAAUUGUCCUAGGCUUCAGAAUGCCGAAGGUCCGAAAAACACCUUCCCUGAGCUCGUUGCCGAGAAACGAUUAAAAUAUUCCGAGCGCGAGGUGGCCCCACUAUACGGCGGGUACGCGCGAUCUGUCGAUUCAUCUCCCAUGUGCCGUGGUCCACCGUUCAGUGAGUGCGGGUGAUUGUUGAACGGGUGCAGGCGACUUAACGAUUCACCUUCACACCUACAACACUAUAUAAACAGACGGGUAGGUGUGAAGUUACCACAACAUUCAUUGCCAUUGCACUGUUGUGCUGCUGAAAAAUUUAAUCAUAGCUGAAGCUUUCUCAUCGCAUUCUCAAGCAAAGCAUCAUUUUGAUUUAACUUUGGCAUAAGAGAGAGCUUCGUCAAAACUGUAAAAAUCAUCAACAUUCGUAAGAACUGCAAGAAAUUCAACACCUGAUGGCCAGAGUACGUUCAACUGCUAGGGUGACCCGUGACAGAGAGGAGACCAAAACCAUAGAGACUGCCUCGAUCUCUGAAGUGAUGAAACAAUCAGGACUGGUUGUGACAGAGGGAGCUACCGACGAAGGUGCACCUGCUGCCGAAGCUGAACAGGCUGACAUCGAAGAAGAUGAUGUUGAUGAAGAAGAGGAAGAUUAUAACAUUCUCAUGCCAGCCAAACCCAGCCACUUGGACUUUGGAAAAUCUACUGUUUCUAAUGCUGAUAUGCCCAUGAUGAUAAAGCUAGGCUACUUCGGAGAAGCUGAGAAGAAGCUGAUUCGUUUUGCCGGGGAAGAAACCACUCCGACACCAGAAAAUGAUGAGGUGGUAGUUUUCAGGGGUUUCUUCAAAGCGGGAAUAAGAUUUGCUUUGAACGAGAUGAUUGGGAAAAUUUUGGAAAAUUACGAAAUCUAUCUUCAUCAGCUGAGUCCUAACGCUAUCGUUAGGCUCAGCGUCUUCAUCUAGGCACUCCGAAGCCAAGGAAUAGAUCCGAAUGCCGAAGCUUUUUGCCGAGUGCAUGAGCUUCAUUAUCAAACGAAGGCCAGAGAAGAUGGGCUUCAUGAGAAUUUUGGUUGUUACAACUUCGCUUACCGCAAAGAUAUGAAGGCUCCGGUGGUUAGCUAUCGCACCAAGUGGCCGACCGGUUGGAAAAAUGAGUGGUUUUAUGUUAAGGCCGAUGAAAAGAAGAGGGAGAAGCUAAAUACGCUAGUACUGAGCCCGCUGAGCUUAAGCUUCGGGUUGACUAGGCCCCUGUGCCGCAUGUCGACGUGGUCACCAUGCCAACAAGCUGUGGCAGAAUUCAGGGUGGUAACCGAGUAGAUCAACACUAGAGAUUUAGUCCAAGAAUAUCUUGCCUAUAAAGUGUUCCCGACGCUGAGUGAAUGGAAUAUGCCGAAGCUAAGGGGGACAAAGGAAAAGAAUGAGCUUGUGCGACUGCCUUAUCGGUUCAAAUUUGAGAAACAAUUCAAUGGGCCAUGCCAAGAAUGGUUAGAAAUGAUAGAAACUAUGUGUAAUGAAAUUUUGGGUAAUUACACUAAAAAAGAAGAUCAGCUGAUGACUGCAGCCUUCGGCACCCAACCCAAACGAUGGUUGAAUCGGGUGAUGGAUGCCUUGAACUUUGAAUAUCCUGACUAUGAGCGAUUCAACAAGGGUGCCGAAGGGCAAAAGAGAAAAAUGAUUGUUAGCGUUCUGAGCAGACAAGCUGCUAGGAUGGUGAAAGAAGAUGAAGAAACUCUAAAAAAGAGAAAAUCCAGCCCUGAGCCGAAGGCGACUGCUCCAAAGAAGAGGAAGGCUUCAGUUCCGAAGCCAAAAACAACUGAGAUAGAGGAAGAGACUCCUUCAACACCUUCUGCUGCUGACGUAGAAGAAAUUCUAAAGGUAAUGACUGAAUCCUUACCUAUCAAGCUAAGUCCACUGGGGCCGCAUCUGAUGAAGAUUUUACAGAAGAAGGAGGAGCCUUCGGCAGCCAAAAAGUCUGCUGGGCCAAAAGGCAGAGGAUUAUAACUGUAAUUGAAGCUAUUGAAGAAAUGCCACCGCUAGCCUCAGCGUCAAAAAUAACACCAGCUGCCGAAGUUGCUACAGCUACCGAAGCUGCAACGGCCGAAGCCACGAAUCUGGAGAGCAUAUUUUCUGAUAUUGAUAAAAUGCUCUUGAAUAUGGCUGCGGAAGAAGCUGCUGCAGCCGUCGAAGAAACCCUGGCCACAGUGCCUGGAAAAGGGAAGAAGAUCACUGAAGAUACUUCAAAGGAAAAGGACUUCAAUUUUCAAAAUAUAAUUGGUCAAGAGUUAUCUAAGACUGAGAAACAAGAGCUGCGAGAAUAUGCUAUAUCAUGUGGCUACCAACUAGGAGCGUUGCUCUUCGGCGGUAUUGACGAAGAAAGCUUAGGAUGCCUCCGAGACCGAACUGGAGCGAAGGUUAUCAGUACUCUGUCGAAGAGUGUUGGUUUCCCGAAGCUUGAGGCUGACAUCACCCGCUACCGACGACAACAUAUCGUCAGUAGUUUAUUCUAUUCUAAUUUCAAGGUAAAAAUUUUUUCUUCGGCUUUUCAUUGUUUUUACGACGAAGGUGUUUUCUGAUGAAGGUUGUUUUGCACAAAGUAUGCUGCUAAGUAAAGCCUUGAGGAUGCAGCUGGACCUCGAAGAUAAAGAAAAUGAGGUUAUAAUUGAAGGCUUAGAGAGCAAAAUAAAAGAUCAUGAAGCUGCUCUUGAAAAGAAAGAUUUUGAACUUCAAACAAUGGAGGGUUCACUGGCAGAAGCCCAAGCCGAAAUUGCUAGAUUAAACAGUGAACUCCUCACAAAGUCAGAAAGCUUCGAACAAGAAAAGAAGAAUUUUGAUGCGAAGUUUGAAGCUGAAGUCGAAAAGAGUUCGAAUUUGUAGAAAUCAUUGAAGGAGCUUCAGGAUAAAUGUCUAGACUUCGGCAACCGGUGCGUGCAACGGCUGAAGCAGGUCUUCAAUUCAGUUGGAGCCAGUUCUGAAAAAUUUGAACCUUCGAUUGAAGACCUGCCAGGCACCUUCGAACACAUUGAGGGCGAAGUUGAUGCUCUUGACGAAGUUAUAGCUGGACACAGUGACUUCUGUGCCCUGCUAGCUUCUCGGGGGCACAGCUGUUGCUUUCAUGAAAACUGGUUGCACGCAUGGGAAGAUCGUGAACAGGCCUAACUUCAACCUAUCACCAGCAGAUUUAACUGACAUCCCCAGCCUGGCCCGAAGCAUUGAAAAUAGAUUCAUAACACAAAUCUGGACAAAGGGUGGGCGACACUUAGCUGGUGACGAAGCUCGAAGUCAUCUCAAGCCGGUAAUAAACUCGUACCUGUUGCUUACCUUCUCCUUGGGUCUUGAGUUUACCUUAUAACACUUUGCUAUGUACAGGAUGAUGAAGCCAAAGAACAAUGACCCGAAGCUUGACGGGUGAUGAUGAUGUGAUGAAGCUGCUGCAAAAAAUUCUAGAGAAACUUUUGAAUUAACUUUGUAAAAGAUGUUGUAAUUUAGGAAUCAAACACUACUCUGUAAACUUGUCCAUACCUUGUAAUAUAUUUUUACCUUCUCCUCUGUAUAUGAAUUGCUUUGAUGUGGACGAAACUUGUACUUUUUGAGCCGAAGGCGAAAAACACCUUCCCUUCUUUUCGUACACAACGAAGCAUAAAUCUGCUUCUUUUGCACUCGCCGAAGCCUUGUCAUUAGAGCCGAAGCAACUGUCUGUACUCUAUGACAUGAUGAUGUUGAUCCUACGAAUGUCUAAAUGAAUGUAUAUGAAUGCAAUGAAUGAUGCGAUGUAAUGUGCAAAUGAAUGUCCAAACACACGAUUACGAAGCCACAUCCAGACUCUUCAUCCCCUUAGAAACGACUUUGGAGUCUUCUUCACCGCUUAUUUUUCGGUGUAAGUUCUGCAUCCCUUAGGAACGUCUUUUGAACUUCUUCGCCUUCUAUUUCGGCGGUAUAAGUUCUGCAUCCCCUUAGGAACGUCUUUUGAACUUCUUUGCCUUAUAUUUCGGCGGUAUUUGGCUCUGCAUUCCCUUAGGAAUGACUUUUGAGCAGAAAACUUACGCUGCGCUCCCUUAGGAACGACUUUUUUGUAGCUUCGUCGUGCUCUUCAUCUCCUUAGGGAUGACUUUUGAGCUUCUCCCUGCUCUUUUUUUUCUUUUUUUUCCUGCACUCGAUGGUGCAGGCUCAGAUUUUACAUUUUACAUUCUUUUGUGGGAUUUGCUCUCGUGGAGCUAAAUAAGAAAGGAAAAUUUACAAGCUAUGGCCCCAUUAAAAACCUUUCUCCCCCUUUGGAAAGGAAAAGGGUGCCAUAGGAAAAAAUGAAAAAAGAUUACAUCAAAUUACACAUAAUAUCUUUGAAGCUCAUCCGCGUUCCAAGAUCUAGGAAUGUCGUUACCGUCCAUAUCCUUCAAUCUGUAAGAACCGGGCCUUGACGAAGAUACCACCAGAAAAGGUCCUUCCCACUUUAGCUGUAGUUUGCCUACUGUGUCCGGAUUAGCCACUCUCCAAAGCACCAAAUGCCCUGGUUUAAUAUUUUUCAACCGAACCUUUCUAUCGCGCCAUUUUAUUAUUUCGGCUUGAUAUUUAUUGAUAUUCUCCACAGCCUGAAGUCUGGUCCCUUUUAUAAUAUCUUUUGCCAUGUGAUAAUCAGCAUCGUCUUCUGCCGAAGCUGCUGUUCUUAUUGACCCCGCUUUAGCUUCUUCUGGGGUUAUAGCUUCAUCGCCAAAUAAUAAUUUGAACGAUGUAAAACCUGUUGAUCUUGAUAUGGUUGUAUUGUGGCUCCACACCACUUUAAUCAACUCAUCUGGCCACUUUCCUCUGGACUGAUUGAAGAUUAGCUUCAUUAUUCCCGUCAUUAUAAUGCCAUUUGCUCUUUCGAUAAGUCCAUUUGACUCCGGAUGCCUGACUGAUGCAAAAUGAAUCUUCGUGCUAAUCUGAUCACAUAAUUCCUUGAAAGUUUCGGCAUCAAUCUGUGUUCCAUUGUCCACAGUUAUAGCCUUCGGCACGCCGAAGCGACAAACAAUGUUUUGCCAGAAGAAUUUCUGGACUAUGACCGAAGUUAUUGUAGCCAAAGGCUUCGCUCCAAUCCACUUAGAAAAAUAUUCCACAGCCACCACAACAUAUCUCAAAUUCCCUUGCGCUGGUGGAAGUGAGCCUAGCAAAUCCAGGCCCCAUCUUUGCAACGACCAAGUGGGCUGUAUUAGCUGAGUGAGGGAUGAAGGUUGUUUCUGGUCUCUUGCACAUUUUUGACAAUUUUCACAUUUUUGAACUAGCUCUGGUGCAUCCGAAGCUGCCUUCGGCCAGUAAAAUCCUUGUCUGAACACUUUUCCCAGCAAAGGCCUAGACCCAAUAUGAGAUCCACACAGACCUGCAUGUAUCUCCUUCAUUAAUUCAACACCUUCAACUCUUGAUAAACACUUGUGAAGUGGAGAACAGACUCCAUGCUUAUAUAAUUCCCCUUUCUAUUAUCACAUACGGUCUUGUCCUUGCUUCCAUUCUCUUAUUGUAAGCUUCGUCAUCUGAAAGACAAUUACCUUGGAGGAAAGAUAUAAUUUCAGUCCUCCAAUCUUCACUAUGUACUGGAGAAAUAACAAGUACUGCUCUCUCCAUGAGUUCAACCGAAGGUGCCUUUAUUGUUUCAAAAAAUACUUUCGAAGGUAGAGGGAGCCCCUGAGCCGCCGAUUUGGCUAGCAAAUAUGCAUGCUCAUUUUCACCUCUUGGGAUAUUCUUGAUAGAAAAACCUUCGAAAGAAGCCUCCAACCUUCGAACUGUAUCCAUAUAUUUUUCAAGCUUCGGAUCUCUUGCCUUGCUACUUUUGUCUACAUGGCCAGAAAUAACUUGAGAAUCAGUUUUUAGGAUGGCCCUUCUUAUUCCCAUUGCUCUCAACUUCCGAAGCCCCAACAGAAGUGCUUCGUACUCAGCAAUAUUAUUUGUGCAACUGAAGUCAAGCUUGGCUGCAUAACAUGUUUUGACUUUUGAAGGUGCCACUAGGACCGCAGCUGCUCCUGCGCCGAAGGUUCCCCAAGAACCAUCGCAGAACACUGUCCAAGCUUCUGCGUCUUUGUUUAUUUCUUCUUCGUGAGCCCCUUGCGUCCAAUCAGCGAUGAAGUCUGCUAACGCCUGGGACUGAAUUGAGGAUCUAUGCACAUAGUCAAUGGUGAAUUCAUUAAGUUCUACAGCCCAUUUCUCAAUCCUUCUAGUAGCUUCUCUAUUCCUCAUAAUGUCCUUCAGAGGUUGUGACAAAGGAACAAUUAUGCGAUAUGCUUGAAAAUAAUGCUGAAGCUUUCUGGAGGCCAUUAACACAACAUAUACCACCUUUUCCAAUUUUGUAUAAUUUUUCUUUGAUAGACUUAAAACUUCGGAGACGAAGUACACUGGAGCUUGCUUUUUGACUUGGCCAUCUAGCUUCUCCUGUACAAGCGCCACACUCACUGCAGAAUGCAAAGCUGCAACAUAUAAGAGCAAUGGAGCCCCUGGCGAAGGUAGAGUUAAUGUUGUUAAAUCAAUCAAAUAUUGCUUCAACUCCUCGAAGGCUUUUUGCUGAGUCGGGCCCCAUUGAAAGACUUCGGCUGACUUCAGUAUUUCAAAGAAUGGCAGAUUUCUUUCUGCUGAUCUGGAUAUGAAUCUGUUUAAUUAUGCUAGUCUACUUGCCAGCCGUUGAGCCCCUUUCUUUGUACUUGGUGGUUCCAUCCAAAGGAUAGCUUCAAUCUUGCUUGGGUUAGCUUCAAUUCCUUUCGUUGAUACUAGACAGCCAUAGAACUUGCCCUUCUUUACCCCAAAAACAUAUUUUUUUGGAUUUAACUUCAAACCAGCUUGCCUGAAGUUGGCAAAUGUCUCUUGCAGAUCAGCAAUGUGAUUUUCUUGCUUCGUACUUUUAACUAUGAUAUCAUCAACAUAGGUCAGCACAUUCCUGCCUAUUUGAGAAUGAAGGACUCUGGCUGUCAUCCUGCUGAAGCUUCCUCUAGCAUUUUUAAGCCCCUUAGGCAUCCGAAGAUAGCAAUAUGUGCCACUGGGGGUUAUGAAGCUAGUCUUCGGCUCAUCUUCCUUCUUUAUCCAGAUUUGGUGGUAGCCUGAGUAACAAUCUAGUAGACUCAUGAGCUCUGACGAAGCUGCUGCAUCUACUAGAGAAUCUAUUCUUGGCAAUGGGAACUCAUCCUUUGGACAAGCCUUGUUAAGAUCUGUAAAAUCAAUGCACAUUCUCCAUUUACCGUUGGCCUUCUUCACCAUAACAGUGUUGGCUAGCCACUCUUGGUAUUUGACCUCUCUGAUAACGCCAACGCUAAGAAGCCUCUUCACUUCGUUCCGAGCACCUUCAGCUUUGUCAUCAGACAUUUUCUGAAGCCUUUGUUUUCUUGGUCUGAAAGAUGGAUCCACAUUGAGUGAAUGCUCAAUGACAUCUCUGUUGACACCGCAAAGAUCAUUGGCUGACCAAGCAAAGACAUCUUUGUUGUUGAAUAGAAAUCUUAGCAAAUUCUUUUCCUGCUCUUCAAAUAACUGAGACCCCAGCAGUACCUUUUGUUCCGCUAUAUCUUCACAUAGAAGCAUAGGCUUCGGCUGAUCCGCCGAAGCAGCCUUCUCUCUUUUGUAUCUAUACUGCUCACAGGCUUCGAAUCCAUCUAUGUUAUGUAUUGCCUUUGAAUCUGUCCAAUUUCCUUCGGCCUUCCUGGCAGCUUCUUGACUCCCAUGAACAGCAAUGGGCCCUUGUUCCGAAGGUAUCUUCAUGCAUAAAUAUGCUGGAUGAAGUAUUGCUUCGAAAGCAUUAAGUGUCCCACGACCAAUGAUUGCAUUAUAAGGAUACUCCAUGUCAACAAUGUCAAAGACAACAUGUUCAGUCCUUGUGUUAUGAACAAAGCCGAAGGUCACUGGCAUUGUGAUUUUGCCGAGUGCUAUAAUCUGCCUUCCUCCGAAGCCACAUAGAGGAUGUGUAGCAUCAUGAAUCUUAUCCUCUGGUUCUUGCAUCUGUCUGAAGGCCUUAGCAAAUAUGAUAUCCGCUGCACUGCCUGUAUCAACUAGAACAUUAUGGACCAGAAAUCCCUUGAUGACACAAUAUAUGACCAUAGCAUCAUUGUGAGGGUAAUCUUUGAGCUGAAGGUCCUCCUGGGAGAAGGUGAUUGGGAUGUGGGACCAUUUUGACUUGAUGAAGGGUCCCUGCACCCCAACAUGUUGUACCCUUCUCUGUGCUUCCUUCUUCUGCUUCUUGUUAGCCGGCUCUGAACCUGAGCCGCAUGUUAUCGGAAGCACCAACUUCGUAGCUGAAGAUGCUUCGGCUUGGUUGCUGAACGAAGCCAUCAGCUCAAAAGUGGAAGUGAGUUCACCGGAGGUGGGCGCCAAUGUUGGAGACUUGUUCUCAAAUGCUAUGAAUUAAGAACAAGGCAACACAAAAAUAGGUUAAUGGUUAAUGUCCUUCGUCCUUCGAAGCAUUAUUUCUCCAAGGAUAUAACGAUCUUCGGACGAAGGUUAUGAAGGACAUACCUUCAUAAUCACAGUAUAUAACAAUGAAAGAAGAAGCAUAUGAAACAUGGGAAAUAACAUGAAUAAUUAUAUGAAAUCAUAAUAUGUCUUUUAUUAUAUAAUUAUGAAUGAAUAAGAGUAAUAUUGAAUUACAUUUGUACCUUCGGCUUGACAGAAGACAUAAAGUACAAGCGUGAUACGCAAGCGAGUACGAGUCAGCGUGAACAGUACGGGGGUACUGUUCACCUAUUUAUAGACACGAGACGCAACUCGGUCAAAAUUACAUUUAUGUCCUCUACAACUAGUUACAAUCAUGACACAAAUUAUCAUGGGUUGAUCGGUCUUUUCAUCUUUAAGUCGGUGCAACCCUUCGUCUCAGGGCGUAUCGUUAUGCCGAAGCUCCCUGGAUGAUAGCUUCGACGUUACUUCUGUGCUGAUCUUCUAAAGGUGUUUCUUAUUAUAGGACCUUCGGCGACGAAGCAGACCCCCAACAGGGAGCAACUGAACUCUCAAUAAAAUUUCGAAAGACCUCAAAAAAUAAUUAUCUCAAGGAAAAUUGCCCUGUAUUUAAACCAACCAAUAUUCAGUUUCACGCUCUAAUCACUGUGCAGGAGCAUCCCCACAAAAGGCAUCACCAUCAGGUCCGCUAGAAGUAGAUGGAUUACUCGAAGUACCCGAUGAAGUGAGUACAUCAGCCACAAUGUCGUUAGGUACCACGACGCCAGGCCUCUUCAUCAAUAUCCGGCCAGCUCGGAUCACCUUAUCCAUCGCCUUGUCACACCACGCCUUCAUGGUAACACGGUCGUCUUCCAAGACCUUGAUAUCACGACGAGCGGUUUUUGUGUCGCUACGAGCAGCUUCCAGCUCCUGCGACACCAGUUUCUUCGAGGCACGAAGCUCCUUGAUGACGGAAUCCUUCGAAGACAAGGACUUGCUAAGUUUCGACACCUCAUCCUGGGACUUUUUCAACUCGCUCUUUUUACUCUCCAACUCCACCAUGGUGAAGUGAUGGCUCCUCUCCAAGGUGGUGAGGGAGCUAUUGGCGUCCAGGUACAGCUUGUCCAAGUUGUUCUGGGAGUCAAGAAGUUUCUGCAUCUCGUCCUGCAGAUGGGAGAACCCUUGAUAAUAGGUCGAAAGCAUGGGAUAAGAGACUUGGAGCUCCCGACGAGUUACCUUGUGAGUUUUCUUCUCCGAGUCAAGCUUCACAUGCAGGGAGGAAUUCAUGGCACGGGCGCCGUCAAGAAACAUAGUCACCUGAUCAAGAUCCGCCUGACUUCAUGCACACCUCUCCUCAGCAUCAGAAUGCCGUCGAGUCAAAGCUAAAAAAAAGCAGCAACGGUCUGUAAUAUGAACAGGAAGGAAACAAGCACAGGAAGCGCUAUCAUUUUGCUCACUGGCGUUUGUAGAUUUCAUUUCAUCUAUCUUCUUUUGAAGAGAAAGAGGGUUCCACUAUGAUAGGGAAGAAAUUUGCUCAGGAACAGGAGCACCACAUGAUCUCAGCUGAGUUGACACCAAGUCCAAGACGCUCUGUAGAUGCAAAUGUCAGCAAAGAAAACAUCCACUGACAGAGGCAGAGUGGAGCAGGGAUGUACAUACCUGAAGGUUGGAAAGGAAUUAGGAAAAUCCCAAGGCUGGAGGUAUCGAUGUACUCCUAGGAGGAAAGACGCUAACAGAAGCAACAUCAUGAACAGAACUAGGCACCAAAGGAAAGGGGUAAUCCAAGCUAAGUGCGGCACCCAUUGGAAUCUCGACUCCAGGAGCACCCAUUGGGUCUUUAGUGCCAUGGGACCUGACCUCUAAGUUGGCCGGGCCAGCUAUACCAACGAGAAGAUCAGAACUCAUCUCUACAGCUUCGUUAGACCGAACCAUUUGUGAUCCCAUGUGGACAACCAUGGAGGCAGCAGAGGGGGAGCCAGUCCUAGGACCCUUGGGGGCUGGAUCACCUUUAGUGACACCCUCGGGUAAAGCAUCCUUAGGGACCUAAGCACCCUCGAGGGCUGGAGACACAUGGCAAGAUGGUGGGGUUGCCUCUUGCCUAGCCAGAAGACUAGCAGAGGGUGCACCGUCCGAGCAUUCUACACGAACGUCGAUGCCCCUAACCUCAAAAAGAUCGAGCAAAAGGUCCUCGGGAAUAACCUUCUCUAGCGCGCUGUCGAUGGCGGACAUAGUCAUUCCCUAGAGGCUAACCAGCCCUGAGAGAACGAGGUUUGGAAUGUCAUUGUUAGCCUUACUACGACGAUCCCUAUGUACCAUGGGAGCACAUCUUCUUCAUCACCAUCAUCCUCCUCCUCUUCCAUAACAUAUCUGCUGACCCUCACACCACCACAGCUCUCCACAUCAUCCUCAAGAUCGGCAUCCGCCGCAUCAUCACCAAGGUUUAGUGCAGCAGAGUCAACCUCCAGUUCCAAGCUAGAUCAACGUCGAAGUUUUCACUUCUUCUUUUUCGCUUCGGCAGACUCAGCCUGGGAGUUUGCCCGGCAUGCUCGCUUGCAACAAGCACUCCUAUGACUGCAAAUUCUUCCUUCCCCGCCACACGAGCGCCCGGGGGCAGCACUCCCUGACUCAACUCAAGCAGACCCAGACGAUUCUCCAGAUAGUGCACUAAGGACUGCGUCCAUCUCAGCGUCAUCAGUGACAACUUGCAUCUGGAAGUGGGUCCGUCUCUCCUCCUAAGGCAAACCUCCAUGUGCAGCAAGUAUGGCCUCGACUUCAUCUAGAGAAGGUCACACUCUAUGGCCUGGGCUCCCAUCUUGAAUAGGUGGGUUAGACAUUAACUUUGAAAAGUACCUCUGCAACAACAAAAUUCCACAGGAAGAGCACCGCAUAUAACAAAACAAAGAUACAUACAGUCGACACUCACUGUUGGGGGAAGAUUCCAAGUAGAGUAAGAUUGGGGCACCAGAAUUUGAAAUUUUACCGCUCAAUAUCAAAUCAACUCGCCCCAGGACAUUCUCCUUGGAUUCUGCCUAUUGGUAAUCCGAGAGGGGUCGUUCGCUCUUAUAUACAGAUAAGCCAGAUAGACCCUGUCCAUGAAAGGUUGGAUGUUCUUAAAAACAAAGUCAAUGACGACAGCUUCAGCAGUUAAACCCCUAUCAUUCAGGCUAGAUAUCUUGGCAAGCAGAAUCCUAGCCUCAGCAAGUUCCAAGUCGGUUGGGACCUCUAUCCAACUCGCCGCUUGGACGUCAGACUGCCUCCCUGAGCGAGCAGGUAGCGACUUGUGAUGGUUUCCAUGGUAAACCACUCAAAACGUGAUCCCUUGAUGUUGUCCUUCAAGGGAUUGUCAAGAUAUUUAGUCUUCCUGCCGUGCCGAAGUUCUAGGCUGGCACCACCGACCAACUAAUGUUGCCCUCCAGCCAUUCCGGGCUUACAGUGGUAUAGAUACUUCCACAUGCCAAAGUGCGGAUAAACUCACAAAAAUGCCUUGCAAAGAUGGACGAACACGACAAUUUGAAGCAUAGAGUUAGGAUUUAGAUGAGUCAGGUUGAGGGAAUAGAAAUCGAGGAGACCACAGAGAAAGGGAGAAACCGACAGACCCAAUCCUUUGGUCAAGAAGGGAACAAAAACAACUGUCUCAUGAGUGUCCUCUGUCGAGACAGGGAUCCCCUGCCAAAUCCACUAAGAGCACAACUCCUUGGGUAGGAGAACACCGAUUUCGACAAGAUGAAGAAGAUUCAACUUUGAAACAACGGAAGCAUAAUUACGACAGAAGGGAAGCUGGCUAUUGGGAUCAAUAGAGGAAUAGCGGGCGUAGUGACCCCCUGUUUCUUCUUCCUGGGUGCCAUCCUGAUCUCACGAGCAUGCAAGCUCGAGCACGACGCAGGGGCAAGCGAGAGCUUGAGAGACUAGAAUGUGGCGAUGGAAAAGCAGAGUUAGGGUUUAUGCGCUGGGAAACCGUUGACAAGAAUGUAUAUGCACACAUUAAGUCGGGCGCAUCAUGACGGGCAAGUAGCUCGGACCAGUUUUUGACAGAAUAGAAUAGAAUAGGCCGGAUAGAGUCACCAGUCGAAACCUACCAAAAUGUUUUGAGAACUAAAAUCGUCGAUUGGGUUCAUCGAAAUCGACUUAUUAGACAAUGCAAGAGUUGAACAAAAGCAGAAAUGCAACAGUCGGAUUUCAUUCAAUGAGAAUGUUGGGGGCCUUCAUCUUCCGAAGGUCCUCAAAAACAUGACUAACAUGUUUUCCAGUAUAGUAUACUAUCACAGGAAGCUUCGGCCUUAAGAUGAAGGUGUGCAUGGUAUAAAAAGCGUGAUCGGGAAGAAGGAUGAAUCAGCUCCGAAGUUGUGGCUGGAGAAGCUUCGUCUUAGCACAAGGACGAUGGUGGAGAAUGAAACUGACCUAAUAGAGAAAAGACUACCGAGUCCUCGACAACUUACCUUUUGCCUAACAGUAAAUGUCAGGGACAUGAAUGUAAUUUUGCUCAGGCUGCGUCCUGUGCCUAUAAAUAGAUGAACAGUAACAACGUACUGUUCACUCUGACUUGUAAUCACUCGCACGUCACUCUCGGAUUUUUACCUUCUGUCAAGCUGAAGGUACAAAUGUAAUUUAAAUAUCAUUGAUGUUUGUUCAUGAUUAUAUAAUGACAAUAUGAUAAUCUGAUGAUUUAAAAUGACUAUUCAUGCUCUUUCUGCGUUUCAUACAUCCAUAUUAUAUCUUUGCAUAUUGAAAUAAUGAAGGUACGUUCUUCAUGACCUUCGUCCGAAGAUCAUUAUAUCCAAAAGGAAAUAAUGUUACGAAGGACGAAGGUCUUUAAUCAUUAACAUUUGUGUUGCCUUGUUCUUGAUCUAUAGCUUUUGAGAACAAGUGACCAACAUUGGCACCCACCUCCGGUGUACUCACUUGACCACCUUCGGCAAGCUUUGACCUUCAUCAUGCCGCCGAAGAAGACAGCAGGGCCAGGGGCUGCACUACAGCCACUGGAUGUUAAUCAGAAAAUGCUACGCGAAGCUAGGAGCCAGAAGAUGAAGGCUACUGGCCCAACACCUUAGGAGGAGGAGUUGGACCAAGAAAUUAGGGACCUUGAAGCCAUCCAUCAACAGUUCAGAAGAAGAAAGAAAAGAUGCUUCGUCUCGCUGAUCUCCAGAGGAAGAUUGAUGAGGCCGCUGAGGAAAUGCGUCUUCUCACCCAGGAUGACCAAGACCGAAGACCCCAACACAGAGAGCUUCGUCAAGACAAUUCAUACAAUGAUGAUGAAUGGUAUGAUGAUUUCCAUCAUGGCAAUUUUGCUUUUGAUGAUGUUUCUCCUCUGGCAGCAGAGUUACAGGCCACCCCAUGGCCCCCAUCAUACAAGCCACCUCAGCUUCUUAUGUAUGAUGUGCACUCAGACCUGAAGCAGUUCCUAAUGAGCUACGAGGCAAUCAUGUCUUCAUAUGGGGGCAAUACUGCAGUCAUGGCGAAAUCUUUCGUCAUGGCAGUCAAAAGUGUCACACAAACUUUGUACUCUUCUCUCCGACUAGGGACAUGAAUCAUGGCACAAGCUUAAGGAUAUGUUAAUCACUAGCUUCCAAGGCUUUCAGACGAAGCUAAUCACUGCUCAGGCUUUGUUUCAAUGCACGCAAGACCAUGAGGAGUACCUUCAGUCGUAUGUCCGAAGGUUCCUGCGUCUAACAGCAUAAGCGCCUAUAGUGCCCAAUGAAAUUGUCAUUGAAGCCAUGAUCAAGGGGCUUUGGCCAGGACCUAUGGCUCAGUAUUUUGCCAGGAAACCUCCACAAACCCUGGAGAAGCUUCUUCAGAAGAUGGAUGAGUACAUUCGGGCUGAUAAUGAUUUCCGCCAAAGAAGGGAAGAAGCAUACAGGUUUUCUGAAAUGACCAAGGGCUUCAGAGGAAGAAUUCACCCCAGGCACGUCAGAUCGAUCCAUGAUUCCAGCCCAAGUGAUGAUAGAGGAAGUCAACCUCAAAGGCAACAACCCGGCUCCCAGUCUUCAGGGCCACAACAAAGCUCCUUCAGGCCACCAACUCCAAGGGGUAGAGGCGGUAGAGGCUUCGGAGGAAUAUACGAAGAUCAGCCCAGAAGGCUAUAUUGCUUAUUCUGUGGUGAAGACAAGGGCCACACCACAAGAACAUGCUAGGUCACAAUUCCGAAGCAAAAGGAGAUUGCCGAAGCUGAGGCACGACAGAAUUAGCCAAAGCAGGUCCUACAUACUGCCUCAUGCUAUUCUCCCUAUGUCCUAGAGUAUGUAGGUAAUCAAUAGCUUACGGCCUCAUUUGCUUCGGCGAGCCAUUCUCAAGCUUCCUGGGCUCAGCUCCCACCACCACCACCGCUACCACCUACUCUGACCCAAAGCCAAAGGCCAGAAUGGCACCAGCACGCUCAAUAGUAGCGUGACUUCUGGGAGGAGUCCGAAGCUCGCACAGUUAACAGCACUGUGCUUGAAUCCAAGCACAUAUACUAAAGAAUAUCCUACUCUUGGUGUAUCUUUAUCUUUUCUGCCAUUUCAUUUUAUGAAAAACAAGCCAUGAAGGACUGAAUUUUGAUUUCAUGUAAUAAUUGUGCCCAUAUCAAUGAGUAAAAUGCGCCUUCCUAACAGACUUCCGAAGCUACAAAAGUUGUUCCUAAGGGAGCGCAGAGUAAGUUCCGAAGCUCAAAAGUCGUUCCUAAGGGAGCGCAGAGUAAGUUCUAAAGCCACAAAAGUCGUUCCUAAGGGAGCGCAGAGUAAGUUCCGAAGCUCAGAAGUCGUUCCUAAGGGAAUGCUGAGCCAAAAAUUCCACUGAAAUAUAAGGUGAAGAAGCUCCAAAGUCGUUCCUAAGGGGAUGUAGAGCUUAGAUACCACCGAAAUAGAAGGUGAAGAAGCUCCAAAGUCGUUCCUAAGGGGAUGCAGAGCUUAAAGACUCCAAAGACGUCCCUAAGGGGAUGCAGAGUCUUGGAUGUUCCAGUGUGUGUGUGUGUGUGUUCUGCAUAACCAUCAUAUUGUAUCAUAUCAUCGCACCAUUCCGCAUAGCAUUACAUCAUACAUCAUAUCGCAUCAACAACAAAGAUUGGGUACGAAGCAGAUCUUCGGCAAUAAUUUGUCGAAUGAAAAUAUGCUGAGGCACGAAGCAAACCUUCGUCCAAUACAAUUUUUAUCACACAACAGAUUUGCCAUAAAAAGGGGCUUCUUUCUUUACGAAGCAUGAAAAUAAGGGAAGGUGUUUUUUCGCCGAAGGCUAAAAAAUGGUAUGUGCGUAAAUUUCAUGCAUCGCAAAGAAAUAUAUUACAUUAACUUACAUGUCUAAUUAAUUGUUUCAUACACCAAAUGUUACAUCGUAUCAUUACAAUAAAAGCCUAAUCUUCUUUAAGAAUCUUCUCGGUGGCUUCAUUCAGCAGCCUAUCGACGACUUCGUCGACGAUGGAGUUAGCCACGCUCAUUACAUCCAGCGCUUCUUUCAUGACGGGAUCAGCCAGGGGGUCGUAUGGCUCGGGCAACGGUGAGAGUUCAGCUGUAGCAAAAAAACUGUUAGUUCGAAGGCAGAAAAUAAACACCGAAGCUAAAAUUCAAAAAUAAUACCUAUACGCCUUGCGCGCUCGACAGCUUCUUUGACUCGUUUAGCUUCUUCUCGAGCAUCGCGGGUUUCUUUUUUAUUUUUCGUUAUGAUUUUGUUGGCCAAUUCUCGGCCACCGUUCACCCAAACAUCGGAGUAAAAUUUUGCGCCCACUAAAGUAUCUUCGGCUGAGGGGUCUUUCACGUCAUCUGAGGAGAAGGCGGCUUCAGUCUAGGCUGCAGCUUUAACAUGGUCGCAACCAGCCUUCUCCAGAAUUGCUACAACCCCUCGAGCGCCGGUGAAGGCACAAAUGUCCCCACGAUCACUGAGGAUCUCUUCAAAAGCUUCAGCUUCUCCGCUUAUCCAAUCAAUAACACCCUCGGGGUCACCUCGGAUGAAAUUCUCUUUGGAAGAAUAUGCACCCACCUUGGCAAAGCUGGUUUUCAAUUUCCUUACGCAAUCCAAGGAUUUCUCAAAGCAUCUCUCCUUGGAUUCACAAAGCUCUUCAACAUUUUUCUCCAGCCUAGUGUUCGACCAUUCACUUAUUUCUUGCUUCACUUUUGCAAGUUCAAAAUUUUCAUUAGCUUCGGCAAGUUUUUUCCAAAGGUCUUCAACUUCAGCUUUAUGAGCUUCAGAUUGAGCAUAGAAUUUAGCUUUGUCUUCUUUCACUUUGUCUACCAAUGAAAGCAGAAUUUUAUCUUUUUCUAAGGCUUCAUUUCUCAGCUUGAUGACCUCUGACCGAAGGUUGCUGAGGGCUAUCUGGCAACUUUCAUCUUCAACAUUCUUUUGCGCCCUCAAAGCGUUGCUAAGAAUUAAGCCCUGCAAAAAAAGAAGAGGAUAAAGGAUUAGUACGAGAAUAAAAGACUUUAUUUUUAAGUUCAUAGAUUAUUUUCAAGUUCAUAACUUUUGUACCUUCAGACUGUUGUAUGCAAGGGUGUUCGCGAGGUCAUCCUUCGACAUGGCAGAAAGGCCAACUUCAAGCUUCAGAAAUCCCAUAUUUUUGGUCAUCUCCCGGCAAACGGAUAUCUCUUUGUUGUCUGGGAGACAGUAUAAGAAAUCAUCUUCAUCGGUGCCAUUGUACACCAAAGCCCCCUUCGGGUAUUUCAGUUCUCGGGCGUAGUGUUUGGCUUCCGCGAUUUCUUCUUCGGACAACCUUUUUCCUGAAGUAUGUCGAAUGAUAAAGUCACAAUCUUCAGAGGGUGCUUCGGGAAUAGCAGAUUUAGCUUUUUCGGGCAUGACUUUCUUUUCUAGAAUCAGGCCAGCAUCUGAAGAUUCUUGCUCAGCUCUCUGCUCAGCUUCAGCAGGCUCUACCUCGGCGGGCACUAAGGGCCCAACUUUAGUUUCAGAGCGGGCUGUAGCAGCCUCGGCAACCUUCUUCGCAGGGGUAGGAGUUAAUACCCUUGCCGUCUCCAUGAUAGCGUCCAUCGCUUUUGCCAUUCUCCUCCUCUUGGGAGUUAUUGCAGGAGUUUUGUCACCUUCGGCAAUUCUGGCUCCAGUGGUCCUGCCGUUUCCUCUCCGUCUAGCUUCUCGGCCGUUUUUCUUUCACCUUCGGCAGUAUGUAUCGUCACUUCGGCCGAUCCGGUUGUAGAAGCCUUCGGCACCGCAGCCGAUUCUUCGGCGCUCCGACCGGCAGGAGCAGCUUGUUCUGCCUCGGCAGUGGAAGAUGUUCCUUCACCAAACUUCGGCACUGUGGCCGUUUCAAUUUAUCUUGGCCGGUGGGUCAAGACCUUAAUUUUCUUGCCCUUCGGCAUGACAGAGAUGGUCGAGGCGCUAGUUUUCCUUUUCUUCCCCUGUUUUCGCGAGGGGUAUGUGUAGUCUGGGUACACGAAGCCGAUAACAUCAAAAACUCUGUUCAACCUUUUCUUGCCUCGCCCUCCGAAGGCUAAGGUCAAGGCAUCAUCUUCGGCCCUUGUGUACGCUCCAAGUAACUCAUCGCUAGUUGCCUCAACACAUGUCAGCCAGUCGUCAUUUGGUUCGUCAAACUGGUCUCUGUACCUGAAGGUGUAUUUCAAAUAAACCAAACCACCUUGACUGGACCCGGCAACAGUCUCCUUUGGCAUCUCCCAGUUAUCCAUAAGUGGCCAUACCCUGUAGGCUAUGUGCUCCUGAACUAGGUCUCUUGUGUCGAUGAAGGCACAAACAUUAUUGAAAGCCUUCUGGCAUGCUUCGGUAUCAUUCCCAAGAGCAGUAGUCGGCCUUCUAAGGCCAAAGCCAGACCAAAUAGGGUGUUGGAUAAUACCUUUUAUGUCUUCCCUUUCAAUUAGGUUAUUCUUAACAUAAAACCAUUCCUCCAUCCAGGCCCCUGGCCACCUUUUCCGAAAUGUUGGAACUGGAUAACUUGCAUCAGAACGAGGAACGAAGCCAUAACAACCGAAAUUGUUGUGAUACUGCUCUUUGCUAGUGGCCUUCGUCUCAUACAAUAGUUCGUGCAUGUUGCAGAAGCACUUCGCGCUUGGUUCUAGCCCUUGGCUCCUCAUGGCCCAAACAAAAACACCCAUCCUAAUUAUAGCUUCGGGAGUAAUAUGAUGAAGGAAGAUCUCAAAUGUCUUCAACACUUCAACCAAAAAUCUGCUCAAUGGAAAUCGAAGACCUGCCUUCAUGAAGCUCCUGUAGACUACAACUUCAUCCUCCUCGGGAGCAGGAGCGGCGCUGUCCCCUUCAGCUCUCACAAUAGACAUAUCAUGAAAAUAUCUGCCCUUCAUGGCAUCAAUUUGACAUUGCUUGAUGGACGACUUUCCGAAGAAAGUAUGACUUGGCCGCUAGGGUCGAUCUUCGGCAUCUUCAUUCCCACUUUCGACAUCAAAGGUCUCGCUAUCGUUAGAAUCUUCAGACAAAUCAGCUAGUAUCUCGUUUGUAAUAUUCUCUAUGUUUGUUUUUUCAUGGCCUCAUAAAAACCAGCCAGUGCAGGAUCAUCAACCUUCUCGUCAGCCAUUUGGUGGGAAAUUGAACAAAUGCUGAAGCUCACAAAACAAGUAAAAUCUGACAGCAAGAAAAUUAAAACUUGGGAAAACAGCACAAGCAAUUGAAAUGACGCAGCAGAUGCUAUCGCUGUGGGUUUCUAUUUAUAUGCCUAGUGCAUUGCAACUUGGCGGGCCCCAUUUGUCAUUGACUUUCGCUAUUCUAGCGAAGGGAAGGUGUUUUUUUGGACCUUCAGCUAAAGGCCUUUGUUCAUGUCGUAGUCUGAAUUUGUUAGAUACAAGAACAAAUUAAUACUGCGAGGGGCUACUGUUGGGGGCCUUCAUCUUCUGAAGGUCCUCAAAAACACGACUAACAUGUUUUCCAGUAUAGUAUACUGUCACAGGAAGCUUCGGCCUUAAGAUGAAGGUGUGCAUGGUAUAAAAAGCGUGAUCGGGAAGAAGGAUGAAUCAGCUCUAAAGUUGUGGCUAGAGAAGCUUCGUCUUAGCACAAGGAUGGUAGUGGAGAAUGAAACCGACCUAAUAGAGAAAAGACUACCUAGUCCCCGACAACUUACCUUUUGCCUAACAGUAAAUGUUAGGGACAUGAAUGUAAUUUUGCUCAGGCUGCGUCCUGUGCCUAUAAAUAGAUGAACAGUAACAACGUACUGUUCACGCUGACUUGUAAUCACUCGCACGUCACUCUCGGAUUUUUACCUUCUGUCAAGCCGAAGGUACAAAUGUAAUUUAAAUAUCAUUGAUGUUUGUUCAUGAUUAUAUAAUGACAAUGUGAAUAAUCUGAUGAUUUAAAAUGAUUAUUCGCGCUCUUUCUACGUUUCAUACGUCCAUAUUAUAUCUUUGCAUAUUGAAAUAACGAAGGUACGUCCUUCAUGACCUACGUCCGAAGAUCAUUAUAUCCAAAAGGAAAUAAUGUUACGAAGGACGAAGGUCGUUAAUCAUUAACAUUUGUGUUGCCUUGUUCUUGAUCUAUAGCUUUUGAGAACAAGUGACCAACAGAGAAGAAGCACAUUACAAAGGAAAAAGGGCCAGCUCAUUAUGAACCGACCCUAAUAUCCUCACUUCAUUACUACUACUACAACUAUUACUACAACUACUACUAAAACUACAAGUGCUACUAUUACUACUAUAACCACUACAUGACACUACUAUUUAUGCCGGUGGCGCCUCGCCACUGGCGUUACCGCCAACGCCGCUGUCGUCGUCGCCACCUCUGCCACCGCCCGCACCGCUGUCGCCGCCCUCCUCCUCCUUCUCUGAGGAGUCCCUCGAGGAGUCCUCUCCCUCCAAGUCAUCCGACCCCCCCCCCCCGCCCGAGCCCCUCGCGCUCGAUAUAUCGGAUGUAGGCUCGCUCGGCCGCCGACAACCCCAUGGAGUUGUCCAAGUCAUCGGACGACGCCACGGGGACGACAAUAGAGGAGAGCCAUCAUACUUGGAGGAAAACUCCUCCUCAGAGUACUCCGAGUCCCCGAAGUCCUCUAAUGGAGGACUCGGAGGGCGCUUGCGUUUCCCCUCCACCUAGUGACAUCUGCCCCUACUUCCUUUCCCAUCGGCCAUCGCUCUCUUGGGUGAGGAGGAAGGGGAGAAGAGGAGAACAGGUAAACAAGAACAAGUGAGGAAGGCAACCGGGGGUGAGCGGGCUAUUUAAAGAAGGCAGAGGGUGGCCCAUCAUUUUCUGCUCGUUCGGUGAAUAGUCACAAGACUUCAAUAGCAUCUUGAAUCUCCAGGAAAGAGGACAGGCUGCUGGCACCGAUUCACAUAACAUGGCACUGUUAGAAAUCAAAUUCAACUUCUUGGACACAACAUUACACCUCGCCAUCACAUCAGUUUACUAUUUCAGGACAACACAAUGGUGUAACACCCCAGUGUUACCUAGGGUUCUUCUCUGUGCUAACCUCAAGAUCAUUAUCACAUGUGAAUAUAAUUGAGCAAAAGACACCAAACAAAUUAGGAGCAAAGAUUUAACUAUGUCUUUUUAACUUAAUGAUCAUACCUUAACCAUAUCAUGCACCUCAAACAUGCCCAAACCCUAAAAUACCCCUAAUUAAGCCAUUUUAGUGCAAAAGGGAAAUUGGAAAAGGGGAAUGAAAAAUGUGAAAUCAUGGCCAGAACCAAUUAUAAAACUUGAAAUAUACUUGGUAAGCUACACAAACUACUAGAAAAGUUUGGCCAAAAUAAUUGUUCAAAAUCCCCCAAAAGGCCAUGCAAGUGGGAGCUCUCUAUAGUUGAGAUUUCUGAAUUUCAGCCCUCACCUAGAACUCAGGCGCGUUCACCUUGAUCCCUAACUCAAAACCCUAAGCUCCCAUUGACAAAGUUGUGCUAAAUUAACCCCUCUACAACGUGUGUGAAGAUGGCAUCGAGAUUCGUGCCCUAGACAUGUCAAGUCAAGGAUUUUAUCUUGGAUUCAUGCAGUGAGACAAACCCUACUAGAGCGCCCCAUAUCUUCGGCUCCAGUCAACAAAAUCCAUAGGUCGCCACACACAAACGACAAAGGAAGGUCCGAUGAAUAGAUCUCUCAAAGGAAUCAUGGCCAUAAUCGCGAAGAUUUGGAGCCAAUGGGCGACUAAAAGUGACCACUCUCAGCGCUGCCUUGUGCUCGAUGCCGUGCCCAGGCGGCAGAGCGCGCACUGGCACUCCUCCGCGCACGCCCUGAGCGCAUGUCAGAGCAGUCCUCGGACGUGCUCGCCUGUGCCUUUAAAGGCCAUACCCGGACGCGCAACACUUCACUCCAUGCUUGCCCUCACUAUCCUGGCCCAGUCCUUAGCUCCGGUGUCACAACCGGAUUUAAGGUACAAAGCCGGGUGCAUCUCAUACAUGCGCCAAAGAAGACAACAUAUAUAAUAACAGAGUGUAUAGAGAUAAAUGUCACAAUAAUCAGUGUAUUUAUUACAUAGCGGAAGUCUUACAAAAUAAAAGAUAAAUAUAAAAGGAUCUAAAAUCCAUCCUUGGCGCCAGAAAGUCAACUAGGAGACGCCACCUAGAUCAAAUCGAACUCCUCGCUGAGUGGCUCCUCUUGAACCACCUGUUCGUCUCCUGUGGGGGGUGUGAGACAACAAGGGUGAGCUCACAUAUGUUUAUAGCUCAACAAGUUGUGGGGAAUAAUGUGCAUGAACUCACCAAAGGUGGGAAUUCAUGUGAAGUGUAAGGCGGAUCAACAAAAUAAAGGUUGAAGCUGAGCAUUUCUUUUAUAAGUUGGUCAAAAUUUUAUUAGCAAUUACUAAGUAUAAGUAAAUACCAAACCUUAGUAAUAACAAGUAAAAGUAAUAAUAAAAUAAUCCCAAUGCGAUGCAAAUGACAAAUUGAGUUUUAAUUCCAUAGAUUAAUCAUGCGAGGGUCCGAGCUACUCAUGACCGUGAGCACGGCUGAUAUACCAGUUUUACACUCUGCAGAGGUUGUGCAUCUUUACCCACAAGUUGUGUUACCCAGCUGCCAAUGGGUCAUGAAUCCUAUACACCUCUACCGAGGAGGCGAGGCAGGGUGACACUACGAGGCCUUUACAAAGUCCCGCUACAGUUUAUAGGAAGCUCCAAUGCAGGGACCCCUCGCCUGACCGCCAUCGCAGCAAAAUCAACCCAAGGACCUCUCUACACUAACUACUCCCCUACUGCCCUUGCCCCUUUCGGGUAAGGUAGUCAUCCACUAGCUUUCCUAGUUAAUCAGCCAAGGGCAUCCCAUACUACCCUUGUGGUAGCACUGUUUUCUCGGGUGUUCGCUCCAUGUUCCCAUUAACAUAAUAAUCUUAUCAUGAAUAUAAAUAACAUAACAGAAUAAUAGGAACAUGGAUAUAAUGAAAUAUUAACCCAAAAACUGUGUAAAUCAAUAACAUAACUACCCAGAUUCAGGGGGUAAACAAGGUGAAAAGAUAAACAGUCUAGGGUGACCUAUUGGGUCCCAUCAAAAUUAAAUCUAUGCAUGAAUAAGUGAUAAUAAAGAAUAUUAUUGGGUAACAAAAGUGGUCAAGGGCACAACUUGCCUGACACUUGAGAUUCUAGGUACCAGGGUGAUUCUUCAGAUCCUCGAAACCUCGCACUAGUCGUAGCAAUACAAACAAACAUGGUAUACAUAAAAUCAACAUCACACCAAACAGGAGAACAAAUUGAAUAAUAAUGAUCUACACGAAGCUACGAGAUCGUGGGAAAGAGAACCACUAAAAUCAUAGUUACGGUUAAGGAGUUAUGAUUUUAUAGAUGAUUUAUGUGACUAAAAUAUUAAACUAUAUUAUAAAUUGGUUAAUAUAAAUCAUAUAAGAGGUUAUUCUAUAAAUAACUAUCUCAACUUUAAUCUAAGUUAUAAAUUGACCAUAAAUUAUAUUCUAGUAGAUUAUAAUGAUAAGCAGUUUAACCAAACUAACCAACAUAAAUUAACUAAAAAUCUACUUAGAAAAGAAUGAGACAUGGUAUAAUAAAUGUUGUUAUUGCAUAGUAAAUAUUCGUACGAGACUAACGCAACUUGAAUGGAUCAAAUCAGAGUUAUACAUUUUAAGUAAUAAAUUUCUAAAGAUUUUAUGUGUUUUGUACAAGAUUAAAUAGGAUAUAAAUUUUGAUGUGACAUUCAUGUCAACAUAGUGGUACUAAUUGAUAAACAAUAAUAUUAUAAAAUUAUAGAAAUUGGAAUGGAUUUAUUUGGACUUCAUAUGCAUUUUCUAUGAAUUAUAUAAGUUUUACAAUUAUUUUUAUACUCAAAAUCAAUUUCUAAAUCUCUUUUCCUGUUUUCUUUAAUUCCUAGACUGGGCGCAUGAAUAACUGGAAGCACAUGGGCUUAUACGCUAAAUAUACAAUGACUCAGAGCGCCAUCGCGCGGACUACAGGUUGGUUUCUUAUAAAGUCGGGGGUUCAUACACAAAAGGUCUAGGCGAAGGGGUAUCUGUUGACAUGGGCCGUCAGAUCUGUGAUCAAGGGUCACGAUUAGAUGGCGCUAUAAGUGAACCGGUAUCAAAUCCCGGCCACCCGAUCCUAAAUGAACGCUUCGGAUUAAAUCUUUAUCAUUCCGAACCGGACGCAAUUGCAACCGUUGGAUCCCGCAUCAACGCACCCGAUAUAAAACACCCAGAUCUAAUCCUGUCCGCUCGUAGGCUGCCCAAUGGUUCGGAUUUCAUCCCCACAAAUCAGUAUGGCCAGACCUGAUCACGGCCGUUGCGCCCCCAUCUAACGGUCGAGACCGUUUCCCCCAAAAUGACCCCGAUGGCGGCGGUGUUGCACGACAAUGCGGCGACGCCAUGGCCGGCCACGGAGAUUCUCGUGCCCUACCGGUCCAAGCCGAACGAGUCUAGUCCUACGCGAUGUCCAGCGAGAGGCUAAACUGGUCAUGGGUCGCUUACCAGGAAUGGGGGGCCGCUGAAGCUGUCCACGGUGCGGUGCGAAUCCGCGGCGGAGCUCCUACCACGGCGAGCAAUUGCUGGCGCACUGUGUCCCAAUCGCGCCAACCGAGACCACGCACGCCCUUCGGAGAUCGGGCAGGAGUGCUCAGGCCAGCAAUCCCGACCACAUCGGCGUCGUUGUCGCGGAAUCGCUGCGGUGGAACCUCUCUUCUCGUGGACACAGCCCUGGCGGCGACGGUUCCAUUGUUCCGGGGCAAAGAACUCGCGUGAGUGAGCAGCAGGGGGAGGAAAAGAUCACGGGAGCUCCCAUUUAUUCCCCGGCGUGGUUGAUCAGGUCGUGCGCGCGAGAAUCGUGCCAGCGGCGUGCCCGCCAUGCGCACGUUCCGUUGAGAAGAGGACUGACCCCUUCGGGCCCACCUGACAGAGACACACGCGACACGUAGGACGACUGAGGGACUGGCUAGGCGGGCCCACCGGUCGGUGUUUGUUCACGCGCGAGCGGAGUUUGACUGGGCGGGCCCACGUGGCAGCGACACGGACGAGCGCGCGAGGGGAGAAAGUGGAAGAGACAAGGUGGCCAUCGUUGUCGGUGCCAGAAACAGAUAUUGGGCCGCGCAGGAUCAAAAGGGAAAUGGGCCGAGAUGAGCAGAAGCCAGCCCAGGCACGUUUUUCUUUUUAUUUUCUUUUUCCCUUUUUCUGGUUUCUUUUUUCUUCUUUGUUUUUAGGAUUCAAAUUUGAAUUUAAAUCUUUUUAUGAGUUUAACCUGAUUCAAAUGCACACUGUUGGGGGUCUGCUUCGUAGCCGAAGGUCCCAUAAGAAGAAACAGCUUCGGAAGAUCGACACAGAAGCAAAGCCGAAGCUACCAACCAGAGAGCUUCGUAGCGUACUUCCAGAUGGACCGACUUAAAGAUUGAAUGACCAAUCGACCCAUGAUAACUUGUAUUAUGAUUGUAAUCAUUUGAAAGGGCAUGAAUGUAAUUUCUCACUGGCUGCGUCCUGUGCCUAUAAAUAGAUGAACAGUACCCCUGUACUGUUCACGCUGUCUUGUAUUUGCUCGUGCGCCACGCUUGGAUUCUUGCCUUCUGUCAAGUCGAAGGUACAAAUGUAAUUAAAUAUUGUCUUUAUCUAUUCAAGAUUAUAUAAAAAAGAUAUAUGAAUGAUAUUAUAUGAUUAUUCAUGUUAUCUUUCAUGUUUCAUAUGCUUUGCCUUUCAUUAACGUAUUCUGUGAUGAUGAAGGUACGUCCUUCAUGACCUUCAUCCGAAGAUCGUUAUAUCCUAAGGGAAAUAAUGCUUCGAAGGACGAAGGACAUUAACAUUUAAUAUUUUGUGUUGCCUUGUUCUUAACUCAUAGCAUUUGAGAACAAGUCCCCAACAUUGGCGCCCACCUCCGGUGAACUCACUUCCACUGUUGAGCUGAUGGCUUCGUUCAACAAUCAAGCUGAAGUUGCUUCGGCUAUGAAGCUGGUGCUCCCGAUAACAGGCGGUUCAUGCUCAGAACCGGCCAACAAGAAGCAGAAGAAGGAGGCUCAGAGAAGGGUGCAUCAUGUUGGGGUGUAGGGACCCUUCAUCAAGUCAAAAUAGUCCCACAUCCCAAUCACCUUCUCCCAGGAGGACCUUCAGCUCAAGGAUUACCCUCAUAAUGAUGCUAUGGUCAUAUCUUGUGUCAUCAAGGGAUUUCUGGUCCACAAUGUUCUGGUUGAUACAGGCAGUGCAGCGGAUAUCAUAUUUGCUAGGGCCUUCAGAUAGAUGCAAGAGCCAGAGGACAAGAUUCAUGAUGCUACACACCCUCUUUGUGGCUUCGGAGGAAGGCAGAUUGCAGCACUCGGCAAAAUCAUGAUGCCAGUGACCUUCGGCUUCGUCCACAAUACAAGGAUUGAAUAGGUUGUGUUUGACAUUGUUGAUAUGGAAUAACCCUACAAUGCAAUCAUUGGUCGUGGGACACUUAAUGCUUUCGAAGCAAUACUUCAUGCAGCAUAUCUAUGCAUGAAGAUACCUUCGGAAACAAGGGCCCAUUGCUGUUCAUGGGAGUCAGGAAGCCGCUAGGAAAGCCGAAGGAAACUGGAUAGACUCAAAAGCGAUUCACAAUAUAGAUGGAGCCGAAGCUUGUGAACAGUACAAGUACAGAAGUGAGAAGGCUGCUUCGGCUGAUCAGCCGAAACCCAUGCUUCUAUGUGAAGACAUAGCAGAGCAGAAGGUACUACUAGGGUCUCAACUAUCUGAAGAGCAGGAGAAAACUUUGAUAAGGUUUUUAUUCAACAAUAAGGAUGUUUUUGCUUGGUCGGCCAAUGAUCUAUGUGGUGUCAAUAGAGACGUCAUUGAACAUUCACUCAAUGUCGACCUGUCCUUCAGGCCAAGAAAGCAAAGGCUUCGGAAAAUGUCUGAUGAUAAAACAGAAGGUUCUCGGAAUGAAGUAAAAAGACUUCUCAGUGCUGGUGUCAUCAGAGAGGUAAAAUAUCCAGAGUGGCUAGCCAAUACUAUUAUGGUGAAGAAGGCCAAUGGCAAAUGGAGAAUGUGUAUUGACUUCACAGAUCUUAACAAGGCUUGUCCAAAGGACGAAUUUCCAUUACCAAGAAUAGACUCUCUUGUAGAUGCAGCAGCUUCUUCAGAGAUUAUGAGUCUGCUGGAUUGCUACUCAGGAUAUCAUCAAAUAUGGAUGAAGAAGGAGGAUGAGCCGAAGACUAGCUUCAUAACUCCCAGUGGCACCUAUUGUUAUCUUCGAAUGCCUGAGGGGCUCAAGAAUGCUGGAGGAAGCUUUAGCAAAAUGACAGCCAGGGUCCUUCAUUCCCAGAUAGGCAGAAAUGUGCUAACAUACGUUGAUGAUAUCAUAGUAAAAAGCACGAAGCAAGAAAAUCACAUUACUGAUCUUCAAGAAACAUUUGCUAAUUUUAGGCAAGCUGGCCUGAAAUUAAAUCCAGAAAAAUGUGUUUUUGGAGUGAAGAAGGGUAAGUUCCUUGGCUGUCUAGUUUCAACGAAGGGGAUUCAAGCUAACCCAAGCAAGAUCGAAGCUACUCUUCGGAUGGAGCCGCCAAGCACAAAGAAGGGGGCCCAACGGCUAACAGGAAGACUGGCAUCAUUGAAUAGAUUUAUAUCUAGAUGAGCAGAAAGAAACUUGCCAUUCUUUGAAAUACUAAAGUCAGCCGAAGUUUUUCAAUGGGGCCCAACUCAACAGAAAGCCUUCGAAGAGCUGAAGCAAUACUUGAUUGAUCUAACAACAUUAACUCCACCUGCGCUAGGGGCUCCAUUACUAUUGUAUGUGGCAGCUUCGCACUCUACAAUGAGUGUGGCGCUUGUAUAGGAGAAGCUUGAAGGACAAAUUAAAAAGCAAGCCCCAGUAUAAUUUGACUCCGAAGUUCUAAGUUUAUCAAAGAAAAACUAUACAGAAUUGGAGAAGGUGUUGUAUGCUGUCUUAAUGGCUUCUAGGAAGCUUCGGCAUUUUUUUCAAGCAUACCACAUAAUUGUUCCUUCGUCACAGCCCCUGAAGGAUAUUAUGAGGAACAGAGAAGCUACUGGAAGAAUUGGAAAGUGGGCUACGGAGCUUAACGAGUUCAGUAUUGACUAUGUGCAUAGAUCCUCAAUUCAGUCCCAAGCGUUAGCAGACUUCAUUGCUGAUAGGACGCCAGGGACUCAGGAAGAAGAAGCAAAUAAAGAUGCCGAAGCUUGGACAGUGUUCUGCGACGGUUCCUGGGGAACCUUCGGUGCAGGUGCGACUGCUGUCCUAGUUGCACCAUCCAAGGUCAGAACAUGUUAUGCAACAAGGCUUGACUUCAGCUGUACAAAUAAUAUUGCUGCAUAUGAAGCUUUACUUUUGGGGCUUCGAAAGUUAAAAGCAAUGGGAAUAAGAAGGACAGUCCUUAAAACAGACUCUCAAGUUAUUUCUGGUCAUAUUGACAAAAGUUGCAAGGCAAGAGAUCCGAAGCUUGAGAAAUAUCUGGACACAGUUCGAAGGCUUGAAGCUUCUUUUGAAGGAUUUUCUGUUAAGAAUAUUCCAAGAAGGGAAAAUGAGCAUGCUGACCUGCUAGCCAAGUCAGCGGCACAUGGGCUUCCUCUACCUUCGGAAGUAUUUUUUGAGACAAUAAGAGCACCUUCGGUUGAACUCCUCGAAAGAGCAGUACUCACAAUAUCUCCUGUCCAUAGUGAAGAUUGGAGGACUGAGAUUAUAUCUUUCCUCUAGGGUAACUGUCUCUCGGAUGAUGAGGUUUAUAACAAAAGAAUGGAAGCGAGAACAAGACCAUAUGUCAUUAUAGAAGGGGAAUUAUAUAAACACGGAGUUUGCUCCCCACUUCUCAAAUGUUUAUCCAAAACCGAAGGUAUAGAACUGAUGAACGAGAUACAUGCAGGAUUGUGUGGAUCCCACAUUGGGUCCAGACCUCUUCUGGGAAAAGUUUUUCGACAAGGAUUCUAUUGGCCAAAGGCAGCUUCGGACGCAACAUAUUUGGUUCAAAAGUGCGAAAAUUGCCAAAAAUGUGCAAGGGAUCAGAAGCAACCCUCGUCAUUGACUCAGCUAAUACAACCAACCUGGUCGUUGCAAAGAUGGGGCCUGGAUCUGCUAGGUCCACUUCCACCAGCGCAGGGCAACUUGAAAUAUGUCGUGGUGGAGGUACAAUAUUUUUCUAAGUGGAUCGAAGCGAAGCCCUUGGCUACAAUAACUUCGGCUAUAGUCCAAAAAUUCUUCUGGCAGAAUAUAGUUUAUCGCUUUGGUGUGCCGAAGGCUAUAACUGUGGACAAUGGAACGCAGUUUGAUGCUGAAACUUUCAAAGAUUUCUGCGAUCAGAUCGGCACAAAAAUUCAUUUUGCAUCAGUCAGGCACCCGGAAUCAAACGGACUUGUUGAAAGGGCGAAUGGUAUUAUAAUGAUGGGAAUAAUGAAGUUAAUCUUCAAUUAGCCUAGAGGAAAAUGGCCAGAUGAGUUGGUUAAAGUGGUGUGGAGCCACAAUACAUCUAUAUCAAGGUCAACAGGUUUUACACCAUUCAAAUUAUUGUUUGGCGACGAAGCUAUAACCCCCGAAGAGGCUAAAGCGGGGUCAAUAAGAACAACAACUUCGGUAGAAGACCAAGCUAAUUAUUCUGUGGCAAAAGAUACUAUAGAAGGGACCAGACUUCAGGCUGUGGAAAAUAUCAAUAAAUAUCAAGCCGAAACAAUAAAAUGACGUGAUAGAAAAGUUUGGUUGAAAUACAUUAAGCCAUGACAUCUGGUGCUUCAGAGAGUAGCCAACCCUGACACAGUAGGCAAGCUUCAGCUGAAGUGGGAAGGACCCUUUCUGGUAGUAUCUUCGUCAAGACCCGGUUCUUACAGAUUAAAGGACAUGGACGACAACGACAUUCCUAGAUCUUGGAAUGAGGAUGAGCUUCGACGAUAUUAUGUAUAAAUUGAUGUAAUCUUUUCAUUUUUCCUAUGGCGCCCUUUUCCUUUCCAAAGGGGGAGAAAGGUUUUUAAUGGGGCCAUAGUAUAUAAUUUCUCCUUUCUUAUUCAGCUCUACGAGAGCAAAAUCCCCCAAGAUAUGUAAAUGUAAAAUCUGAGCAUGCACCAUCGAGUGCAGAAAGAAGAAAAAACAGGGAGAAGCUCGAAAGUCGUCCCUAAGGGGAUGCAGAGCACGAUGAAGCUACAAAAAAGCCGUUCCUAAGGGAGCGCAGUGUAAGUUUUCUGCUCAAAAGUCGUUCCUAAGAGAAUGUAGAGCCAAAUACCGCCGAAAUAUAAGGCGAAGCGCAAAAAGUCAACGCAAAUACCACCGAAAUAGAAGGCGAAGAAGUUCAAAAGACGUUCCUAAGGGGAUGCAGAACUUACACCGAAAAAUAAGCGGUGCAGCCGAAAAAUAAACGACAAAGAGACUUCAGUCAUUCCUAAGGGAAUGAAGGUUAUGGAUGUGGCUUCGUAUGUGUGUGUUUGGGCAUUCAUUUGCACGAUACAUUACAUCAUACAUUGCAUUCAUAAACAUUCAUUUAGACAUACAUAGGAUCAUCAUCAUCAUCAUACAGAUACAGAUAGUUGCUUCGGCUCUAAGGAUACGGCUUCAGAAGCAGAUUUAUGCUUCGUUGUGAACAUCAAAGCAGUUCAUACAUGGACGGAAAGGUAAAAAUAUAUUACAAGGUAUGGACAAAUUUAUAGAGUAUCUGAUUCUCAAAUUACAAUAUUCUUUACAAAGGAUAAUACAAGAGUUUUUCUAGAGUUUUUUCAUAGCAAGGUUUUCGGCUUCAUCAUCAUCUGCUAAGCUUCGGAUCAUCUGCUAGGCUUCGGCUCAAUGCUCCUCAGCUUCGUCAUCCUGUACAUAUCAAAGCAUUAUAAAGUAAAUUCAAGUUUCAAGGAAAAGGUAAGCACAAGGUAUGAGUUUAUUACCGGUUUAAGGUGACUUCGAGCUUCGUCAAAAGCCAAGUUUCGCCUGCCCUUUGCCCAGAUUUGAGUAACGAAUCUGUUUCCGAUGCUUCGGGCAAGGCCAGGGAUGUCAUCCAAGUCUGUUGGUGACAGGCUGAAGUUUGGUCUGUUUACAAUAUUUCCAUGUGUACAGCCAGCCUUCAUGAAAGCGACAACUGUGCCUCGAGAAGCUAGCAAGGUACAAAAGUCACCAUGUCCAGCUAUAACUUCGUCGAGAGCAUCAAUUUCACCUUCAAUAUGAUCAAAUGUGCCUGGCAGGUCUUCAACCGAAGGUUUAAACUUUUCGGAGCUGGCUCCAACUGAGUUAAAAACCUGCUUCAGCCGUUGAAUGCACCGGGUGCCGAAGCCUAAGCAUUUUUCGUGAAGAUCCUUGAGUGAUUUCUGUAGAUUUGAACUUUUUUCAACUUCGGCUCCGAGUUUUGUUUUGAAAUCUUUCUUCUCUUGCUCAAAGCUUUUUGACUGUAGGGAAAGUUCACUGUUCAAUCUGGCGAUCUCGGCUUGAGCUUCUGCCAGUGAACCUUCCAUCGUUUGAAGCACGAAGUCUUUCUUUUCUAGGGCAGCUUCAUGAUCUUUAAUCUUGUUAUCUAAGCCCUCAAUUAUAACUUCGUUUUUCUUGGCCUCGAGGUCUUGUUGCAUCCUUAAGGCUUUGCUUAGUAGUAGGCUCUGGCAAAAUAACCUUCAUCAGAAAACAUCUUCAUAUCAAAACAAUAAAAAAUUAAGGGAAGAAUUUUACCUUAAAGUUAGAAUAAAACAGGCUACCGGCGAUAUGUUGUCGUCGAUAUCUGCUAAGAUCGGCUUCGAGCUUCAGAAAACCAACACUUUUCGAUAAAGUGUUGACAACCUUCGCCCCAACUCGGUCCCAAAGGCAUCCUAAACUCUCUUCAGCAACACCACCGAAGAGCAGCGCCCCUAGCUGGUACCCACAAGAUAUGACAUAGUCCCUCAGCUCUUCUUUUUUAGCCUUUGACAAUUCUUGCCCAAUUAUGUUUUGAAAGUUGAAAUUUCCUCCUUCCGAAGCAUCUUCGGUAGGCUCCUUCUCUUUUCCAGGCAUCUUCUCCCUUUUUUAGGCACUGCGGCCGGGGUUUCCUUAGCAGCUGCAGCAGUUUCUUCCUCAGCCAUAUUCAAAAUCAUUUCAUCAAUAUUAGUAAGUGUCUUUUCCAAAUCUGUGGCUUCGGCUGUUGCAGCUUCGGCAGGAGCAGCUUCGGCUGCUGCUGUUUUCGGCGCUGAGGCCGAUGGUGGUGUUUCUUCAAUAACCUCAAUGACAGUAAUAAUUCUUCGCUUUUUUGGUUCAGCGGGCUUCUCGGUAGCCGAAUGCUCCUUCUUCUUCUGUAAAAGCUUCAUCAGUUCCGGUCCCAGCGGACUUAGCUUAUUAGGUAGAGAUUCGGUCAUUACCUUUAAAAUUUCUUCUACAUCAAUGGCAGAAGGUGUUGAUGGAAUUUCUCCUUCUAAAUCAGCUUUUGGCUUCGGAGCCGUAGCCUUUCUUUUCUUCAACACAGCCACCUUCGGUCAAGACUGGAUUUUUUCUUUUUUGCUAAAUUUUCAUCUUCUUUUAUCAUUCUGCCAGCUUGUCUUUGCAUAACACUGACAACUCUUUUUCGUUUUGGCCCUUCGGCACCUUUGCUCAACCGUUCAUAGUCUGGAUAUUCAAAUUUCAAAGCAUCCAUUACUCGGUUCAGCCUUCGUUUCGGUCGGGUGCCGAAGGCCGCCAUCAUCAAUUGAUCUUCUUUCUUCGUAUAAUUGCCCAAGAUUUAAUUGCACAUAACUUCAAUUGUAUCCAACCAUUCUUGGCACGGUUCUUUGAAGUGUUUCUUGAACUUAAAAUGGUAAGGCAGUCGAACAAGUUCAUUCUUUUUCUUUUCUCCUUUAAGCUUUGGCAUACUCCAUUCCUUUAAAGUCGGAAAUAUUCUAUUUGCUAAGUACUCCUGAACCAAAUCCCUAGUACCAAUAUGUUCAGCCACAACUCUAAAUUCGCCCACAGCAUCUGGGCAUGAUGUCCCCGGCAUCAUACAACACUGGGGCCUAGUCAACCCGAAGGUUAGGUCCAGCGGGCUCUGAACUAGCUUCUCCUUUUUCUCAUCAACCUUAACAUAAAACCACUCAGUUUUCCAACCGGUUGGCCAUUUGGUGUGGUAGCUAACCACCAGUGUCUUCAUAUCUUUGUGGUAGGCAAAAUUAUAACAGCCGAAAUUCUUGUGCAAUCCAUCUUCUCUAGCCUUCGUCUGAUAGGGAAGUUCGUGCACCCGGCAGAAGGCUUCGGCAAGUGGUUCCACUCCUUGGCUUCGAAGAGCCCAGAUAAAGACGCUGAGCCUAACGAUAGCAUUAGGAGUUAGCUGAUGAAGAUAAAUUUCGAAAUUUUCCAAAGCAUCCGUAAUCAUUCCAUGCAGAGGAAACCUCAACCCUGCUAUGAAGAAGCUCUUAAAAACUACCACCUCAUCAUUUUCUGGCUUCGGGAUGGUCUCUUCCCCGCCAAAGCGAAUCAGCUUCCUCUCGGCUUCCCUGAAGUAGCCUAGUUUCAUCGUCAUCAGCAUAUCAGCUUCAGAGACAGUCGACUUCCCAAAAUCCAAGUGGCUGGGUUUGGAUGGCAUAGUGGUGUUGUAAUCUAUCUCUUCUUCACCAGCAUCACCCUCUUCAAUAUCUGCCUGCUCGGCUUCGGUAGCAGGUGCACCUUCGUUAGAAGCACCCUCUGGCACAAUCAGUCCCGACUGCCUCAUAACUUCGGAGAUUGGGGCAGUCUCAGUAGCUUCGGUCUCCUCUCCGUCGCGUGUAAUCCUAGAUGUCGAACGCACCCUGACCAUUUGAUGCUGAAUUUCUUGCGUUUUGACGAAGUUGAUUAUUUUUUAUCUUUGCCGAAGCUCCCUCUUGUGACGAAGCUAAAGAAAAAUGAUGCUUUGAUUGAGAAUACGGUGAAUAAGCUUCGGUUGUGGUCAAAUUUUUCGGCAGCACAACAGUGCAAUAGUAGUAAAUGCUGUGCUAACUUCACACCUACCUCUCUGUUUAUAUAGUGCUGCAGGUGGGAAGGUAAAUCGUCAAGCCGCUCGCACCCGCUGAACAGUCGCCCGCACCCACUGAACGGUGGACCAUAGUGCGCAAGAAGGCGAAUCACCAGAUCGCGCGUACCCGUCGUAUGGUGGGACCACCUUACACUCGGAAUAUUUAAAUCGUUUCUCGACAACGAGCUCAGGGAAGGCGUUUUUUGGACCUUCGGCAUUCCGAAGUCUAAGAGAAUUUUUCACGGGUCAAGCUCGUUACAAAAAAUGAUCUGGCACCGUGAAGGGGCUACUGUUGGGGGUCUGCUUCGUCGCCGAUGGUCCCAUAAGAAGAAACACCAUCGGAAGAUCGACACAGAAGCAAAGCCGAAGCUACCAAUCAGAGAGCUUCGUAGCGUACUUCCAGAUGCACCAACUUAAAGAUGAAAUGACCAAUCGGUCCAUGAUAACUUGUAUUAUGAUUGUAAUCAUUUGUAAAGGGCAUGAAUGUAAUUUCUCACAGGCUGCGUCCUGUGCCUAUAAAUAGAUGAACAGUACCCCUGUACUGUUCACGCUGUCUUGUAUUUGCUCGUGCGCCACGCUUGGAUUCUUGCCUUCUGUCAAGCCGAAGGUACAAAUGUAAUUAAAUAUUGUCUUUAUCUAUUCAAGAUUAUAUAAAAAAGAUAUAUGAAUGAUAUUAUAUGAUUAUUCAUGUUAUCUUUCAUGUUUCAUAUGCUUUGCCUUUCAUUAACGUAUUCUGAGAUGAUGAAGGUACGUCCUUCAUGACCUUCGUCCGAAGAUCGUUAUAUCCUAAGGGAAAUAAUGCUUCAAAGGACGAAGGACAUUAACAUUUAAUAUUUUGUGUUGCCUUGCUCUUAACUUAUAGCAUUUGAGAACAAGUCCCCAACACACACAUUCAAAUCCCAAUAUAGAAAUAAUGUAUUUUAUUAUAUAUAUAUAUAUUUUUUGUACUUAUUUUUACUCAAAUAAUAUUUUCUUACUCCUCUUUUCUCAAAUUCUAAAAUUUUCUUUCUAUUUUAAAGUUCCCACUUCAAAUUCAAUUCAAAUUCAAUUCAAAUUCAACUCCCAUUUGAACUUCAAUUUUCCAAGUGUCAAGGUUAACACUAAUGUGAUUAUAGCAUCCACUAUUUAUCAUAUUACUAUUUACUCUUUUCCUUGUUAUUUAUUUAUGGGAGAAAUAAAUAGUUCCAUCAAAUCCCCUUUCCUAUUUUUUUAUUUUAUUUUCAUUUAUACUUUGAGAUCCUAAGUUUAAAUUAUGACUCUUUAUUAACAUGUUCCACCACAUAUUCAUAAGUAUAAAAUGCCUAUAGUGCUUCAUUUAAUGAAAUGAAUAGUCGUUUAGUUGAAUUGAAAACCUUUCUACUACUUCUUUUCUAACUUAAUUAUUGGUUUUCAAAAUUCAAUUCUCAAUUUUCAAUACUCAAGUUUAAUUCGAGAUUUCUGAAUUUACUAUUUUAUCUCUUCAUGUAUUUAUUUCAUUAUUUAUUAAAUUUUUUAUACAGAUUUUGGGCCUUACAUCAAGCGAGCUCUACGCCGCCCGCCAGAGCCACCCGAACGCCAGCCAUCGCGGCCAGCCAUUCCCAGAGACCCCUAGCCUCACCCGAGCCUUUGGACAGUUUCCCCGUGGAGCCGUGAAGGUUCUCCAAGCAAGGAUCGAGACACUACCUCAUCGAAGCAGUGGGAUCACCAUCGCCGGACUUCUGUCGCCCGCCACCGCUCGUAGACCGGGCCACCAGGUGAACCAUUCUUCGAUUCCUUGCACCCACGACCUCCCUGACCUCCCGUGAAGCUCCCCAACUCACUAGAUCGUGCUAUGUUGCCGUGGUUAGGCCAGAGUCCUCGCCACCGACGAACUCCCCUGCCCGCACACGUGGACCCGCCAACUCCGGUCACCUCCGACGACGAUCCGCACAUCGACGUGACCGUCGCGACCUCCCCUACGCCAUUGACCACCUUGCCGAAGCUAUCUCGCCACUGUUAAGCCCCACCGCCCUUUUCUCUGCCGCGGGUACUGUUUCAUUAGGGAAAGGACUGCGAGUUAGAUUUAGGGUUACCUAGGGGCUUUUCUGCACUGUUAGAGACUCAGUGCAAUAGGAAACCGAGGACCUGUUUGUAAGGAACCCAAGAAGAAAAUACCAGGGACCCCACAUCAAAGUAGAUUUUCCUUUUCAUUUCGAAUUUAAAUUCUUUAAAUCGGCAGUAAAUCAGUUAAAUGCAUAACUUCAGAAAUACUCAUCCAAAAUUAGUCAAACCAAUUUUGCUGGAUUUCAAACAUUAUGAACUGUCAGACAAAAAUAUUGAACCCCAUGUUUUCUGUACUAAAUUUUAGAGUUUGGAUUUAAAUUAGGAAACUACCCAAACCUUAUCAAUACAGAGAAAAAUAGAAAUACUUCUAUACUAGGCUAGAGAAAAUUUGUAGAGAUACUUACCUGGAAUAUACACUGUUUAAAAAUACUGAGCACCCCAGUAUACAAAAUAAACCAGGAAUGUCCUAAUUUAAAUAAGAAAGGUAAUAGGAAAUGAAAACCAGAGAAUAACCAUAUUUUUCCUAGCAUGCCUAAGUUACACAGAACCUAGGAAAAAUAUAAGGAACCAUAGUCUAGUGCUAAUCUAAGGUUAUAAUUUUAUUUGGCAUUAAGAAAUCUAGAUAUAAGGACAAAUACAUUAAUGACAAGAAAAAUUCAGAAAGCCUCUCACCACUAGUAUACCACUACAAAAAUGGUAAACACCCCAAACCAUCAUAGUAAGUGAGUUGAACAAUUAAAAUUUGAAAUUGGCCCAUACUUUAAAUAAAUCAAAAGAGAGCCUAAAAAUGUGCAACAGUGAACAAACCAAUUUUUACCCAAUUACUUAUGAUAUAAACCACCAGGGAAAAAUAUGAAACUACGGUAAGAACAUGAUGUAAUACACCUCACUCCUCAUCCCAUGAAAAAGACCAUAUAUUUCAAGAAAUUCUACCACCCCUUCCCUUUAAGAAAAAUUAGUCAAAUUCUAGAAUGACUGCUCUUGCACAAAGAAGAAGAUAAAAAAAUUACUAAAUCUGUUGUUUGACAUUUUUCAAAUAUAGUAAUAGUAGAAAGCACCAUUAGGCCCUAAAACAUUAGAAAACCACAAUAAAAUGACCAUUAGGUGUCAUUAGCUAAAACUUGGUACAAAGUCAUAUUAUUGUAUUUAAAUGCCAUAAAAAAAUAAGCCUUAGGGAAUAAUCCACUGUUAAAAGAGAGUUGUAGUUCAAAGCACCCCCUCUACCCUAAAACUUAAUAUUUUUGUACAGAGUGAACCCUUAACAUUUUAAAUCCCAACUUUUGAGACUAAGAAUUAUACACCAGUGAGAAACUACUGUAGCUUAUACAAAAUGUUUGGAAAUUUAUAAAGCUAUGUUGUAGUUCAAACCCACUUUAAAAAGCAUAAUAGAAAAGGGGAAAAGAGAGAAUUGGUAAGAAUAAUAAAUCUCACCCAUGAUGAUUUCAGAAAGGAUCAUGAUAAACUUUUCACUAAGACACUAAAAGAAAAUCAGUGGGACACUAAAAUAAUCUGACCACUUAAACUUGACCAUACUUGACCCUAUAAUGGCUAAGUAUACCACUAGAACCCCCAAAUUUAAGAUUUAGCCUUACCUAAUCAACUUGAUCAUUUUUAUUACCACUACAUUGCAUAUCAUGGCGUACAUGUAUCUCACUCAUUGCAUUCAUUAGAUUGCAACCUCGCUGAUGGAGAGUAUGUGCUCAUUCCCGAACAAGGAGUUGUCCAAGAGGAAGUCUAGGAGCCAGCUCCCAAGCCUGCCACCGAGGAUCUCCCCAUAGCCCCAGCUUUUGAAGGCAAGCCCCGAUUUUAUGCAUACCCGUUUAUAUAUGCUACUUUACUACACUUAAUGUUUGUAGGCUUGUAAUGUGCACUUAAGUGUAGGAGUUGCUUGAAACCCUUAGUUGCAUGAACUCAGGAUUCCUUUUGAGAUGGAUACUAGUAUGCUAGGUCGAGUAGGUGCUUUGCUAAUCAGAAUCUCAGUAGAAGUCGAGUGAUUUUUCUAGCAGUCGCGCGAGGUCAGGCAUUGAUUGUAUUCAUAUUGAUAACAUGAUCUAUGAUGGUCUAUGGACUUGGAUCCAGGGUGGAUGCCAUGUCUAUGAGAUGGAAAUGGAAUUAAGGAUUAAUGUGUAGAUACCUGAGUCAAGCGUUUGAAUGUACAAAACACAUGUCGGGAAAUAUGGUACCGGUAAGACUAGUACCUGAUUGAACCUGCCUGCAGACUUUACCCCUCACUGGACCUGAGACAGGUUCUCUCAUGCUAGCUAUGGUGGGUACAAGUGCGGCCGUUGCACGGUGGCAGCCGGGGACAAUUGGAGCAUUGUACGCCAAGGUCGUGAGCCCUGUUCUAUUGCCAGGGGAUCAAUGGGGACAGUUGACGUGUGUGGGGACGGAGUGCCCCUACAUGUUGUGUGUUUAGGUUUACCUUGCAAGGUUUAAAACUCGAUUCGAAUCGUCUGCUUCUCGCAGCUAAUGAAACUGCUUGACCCCUUGUACUGCAUUGAGUAAAAAGUGAAAUGAGGCUUUACCUGAGAUAACAUGUUGAUUGUACUAAAUGAUUGUUAUCAUGUAUGCUUAGAAAGGAGCAAACCUAGCUAAAUUAAGUAUGCUAGAAUUGGAAAAGCUAAAAUUGAUUUUAGACCUAGCUAGUGCUUUUGGCAAACCAAACCCCUCAGCCAAACAGCUGCAUGGUCUAGAGGUAGAGGAGUAGACUCCUCACACCGGGUAAGUCUAGCUGAGUAUUAGUAUGCUCAGCCUUGCUUGUGGCACAAUUUUUGCAGGUACGCUACAGGUUAUGGUUGACGGUGUGACUUGGUCUUCCACCCUGCCACCAGGUUGGACGGUUGAGUGGGAUGCUGCUCCGGCAGGAGAGGAUCAGGAGGCGUAGUGGGCUAGGCCUUGCAUAUUCCUCAGCAUUUGACGAUGGACUGGUUGAUGCACUAGCGCUUUUAUUUGCGAACCCUUUUGUUUAAUCCUAAAAAAGAAAAUGAGUCCUUUAGAUUAGAUAUUUUUUCUUUUUUUAGUACAUUGGUAUUUGCUUAUGUAAUUCUAAGUAUAUCAAUACUUUACUUUACUCCUAAUUAUUAUAUUAUUUCUUUUUUAUAUUAUUCUGGAAAUUUUGUAUUUAUCGGGACAGAAAAUACCCUAGGAACCCCAAGAAGGACUGAUUUGAGCAUGAUCAAUUUAGAGGAUAUGCUCGCCCUCUUCCUUCCCGUCCUUAGUUUAGGACAGUAGUCUUUCUUUGGUCCAUAUAUUAUUUGAUUAAAUCAAAAUAUACUAUAUAAAUUGAUUAAAUCAAAAUAUACUAUAUAAAAAUAUAAAAAAUCCAAAUAUAUAAAAAUAAAAACCCUCUAUACAUAUGAAAUAAUAUCUACCUAAAAUCAGAUGAGUUGAUUUGUAUUUAGUAUUCUAUCUAUGUUCUAUAUAUUUAAUAAGAAGUUCUUACUCUUUCUGUUCUUUGGAAAAAUCGAACACACGAUGCUCCUAUUUCUUUAUUUCAUUAUGAGUGGUAUGCUUGCGACAAUAACGACAAAAUUUUCUUAAUUCUAAUUGUCCCGGCGUAUUGUGGCGAUUUUUUUGAGUACUAUAACCAAAACGACCGGAAAUGUUUCAAAAAAAAGUAGUCAUACGACGUACAAAAAGCUCGCGUCCUUCUUUAUCUCUAAAGACGGGAUGUCCUAACCAUCCAACAGCUAUGCCAUCCCCAUUGUCCAUUGAGCCUGCUCUGAAUAAUCCCCCCUUUGCCGGAUUAUUACCAAUAUAAUCAUAAAAGGCUAAUUUUUUUUUGGGAAUUUUCUUAUCGAUUAUCCGUUGCACUUAAACUAUGAACUUGCUUUUCUGUUGUUAAAACUCCGAUUGUUGUAAUAACUCCAUUACCUUAAAUUGUUGUUUCAUGUUUAUUGCAUUCUCUCUGUGACUCACCUUCGAGCGAGCUAGUGGUAUUUGAUCCUUAGUAAGUGGCUUUAUCAGACUAGAUCUUAGGGACUGACGGGUUAUUCCAAUUUAAGUGUGUUGUUGCCUCUGAGUCGGGACUUGGGCACUUAAGCUGAAAUAAUUUGGGCGGUUCUGCCACAGCUGGUAUCGAAGCGAAUACCACCACAGAGAAAUCAAUAAGUCAUGAAUACCAACUUUUCAAAAAUAAAAAUUGCUUAGAAACCAGUGUUGGAAUCGUCAGGACUAGAACGUUAGACCUAGGACGAAAGGCCUUAGGAAUAGUGGGAAAACAGGUGGCUAAUGAAGUAGGCGAUAUAGGCUAGUCUUAGAAUUGUAGGAUGCCUUAAAAGCACCCUUCUGAUCGGUGAGGAGACGUUCUGUUCAGCAUGCACGCAUUAUAAAACAUGAAAGGAUUAGAAUUUAAGGAAAAAAUAACUAACACAGUGCGAAUGUGGCAAAUAGGGUUAAUAAUAACUAACAUAAGAAGUAGAAUCUAAUCUAACCUACCUCCUUUUAACAACCUAGGCACAUGUUUCUCCCUUCCGCUACCAUAACGUUUACAUCUAACCUUCUUUCAUAGUUGACUUCACCCACCCCCAUCAGUGGAGGAGACACUCGUUUUAGUUUCGACUACCUUUCCCACGAGGGUUUCCCUUCCAUCUUGUGGGAGGUGCUCAGCUCCGCCGGUUACCCUACACCCCCUCUGUACACGGUGCAGUUGUACGAGGAGCAUCGGGUGCCCCGUUGCUGAGUCUGGCUGACUCUGGAGGCUCACCCUCUACAGCCGGGUUGGCGUUCCCUUGACUCUGAGACUAUUGGAUUUAGGAAGGACGAUGCCAUCAAGGCUACAGCUAUGAAGACCCUGCCAACUUUAUGCAGAUACCAUCCUGUGGAGAUGGUAAUGCACCCAUUGGGACUCUUCCCCACUUAGAAGAGGGAUGACCCCAUGUGGUGCAACCGAGUGAGCCACGUGAAGGACGUCUGGGCCAUGCAUCCUGACCAAGUAGGGAGGAUCACUGUUCAGUGUAUGAGCGCAUUGUACCGCCUUCAAGCCCUGCAAAGCGACGCCAUGGCACACCUCACUAACCUUGCUCAGACCACUAAGCUCACCAUCGACAGUCGAGAGGACUUCAUGGUCGACUUGUCUUCAGAAUUGGUGGAGAAAGACCUACAGGUGGAACAGUUGAGCCAGCGCAUCGCAACCUUAGAGCAGCAGGUGGAGAUCCGGGAUAACACUAUUGAUAUCCUGGAGAUCCAGCUCCAUGAUGUGCAAGAGGAGCUUGAGGAAGCCAACAACCACUGGAGAUGCACCACUAGGAUAUGGAGGCAAAUGAGGCAGGAAGCGAGGGAGAGGAAGCUCCUGAGGAGCUAGAACCAGCCCCUAGUCCCAAUGCGACUCCCUCUGGGAAGCCCCCUUCACCCGCAUCCAGCGUUGCCUCGACCACUCAGGGUUGAUGGGUUAGUUUGACACAUUAGGAGAAUAGAAACCCACACGAGCUUAGUUUGGCAUUAGAUUUUGGACUAGGCUUAUGGGUACUUUCCCCUAAAUUGUUGUAACUCAGGGAAAACUUUUAUGAGCAAGGAGAUGAAUGCAAUCAUGUUAUCCUCGUCCGAUUAAAUAUUAUGUUAUGACAUUUUUCCAUAUGAUAUAAAUAAUAUUGUUCGGAAUCAUGGAUAGAGAUAACAAUGGCGACAAUUUCUGUUUUCGGAUGGCAGCUAGGCAGCAUCGCGGUCAGAACGAGCAGGUUCCCCCGCCACCUCCUCUAGCUCCCACGCUUCAGGAUCUGAUGGCUCAGCAGAAUGAGAUUCUGCGGCAGCUAUUGCAGCGCCAGCCCCACCCUAAGUAGUAUGGUGGAGGCCAACCGCAGCGUCCUCCGGCCGCGGCAACCUAUCAAGAGUUCCCGAGCACGCAGCCGCCCUUGUUCACCAAGGCAGAGGAUCCGCUAGACGCCGAUGUGUGGCUAAGGGUCGUGGAGUCCAAGUUUCCCCUCCUCACGGGAGCUUGCCCUGACGACACCAAGUCUCGCUUCGCCGCACAGCAGCUUCGUGGACCUGCUCAAACAUGGUGGGACCAUUUUCGUGCCAUGUUACCUGCUGAUCAUGGAGUGACAUUGGAGGAAUUCAAGACUGCUUUCAGGGGACACCAUAUUCCAGCAGGGAUUCUAGAUCACAAGCUGAAUGAGUUUCUCGCAAUAACUCAGGGAACCCACACUGUGUUGCAGUAUGCCCAGACCUUCAAUGACUUGUGCCAGUAUGCGGGCUAUCAUGCAGACUCUAAUGAAAAUAAGAGAGACCGCUUCCGUAGAGGUCUCAACACCAAGCUGCGUGAGCGCCUCAACACUGUUCGGGCUGACAUCUUUAAUGAAUUGGUCAACCUGGCCAUAUCAUAGGAAGACUAUAUUGUAGCUCACCGGGCAGAAAAGAAGAGAAAGGCACCAAUAUCAGGACCCUCAGCUCCACCCCAAAGAUUCCAGAUUAUCUCCAAAAGUCAGAGCAGAGGAUUUCAGCAGCAGGCAGGAAGAUGGGUUAUCAGGCGGCCUCAGCAGCCGCAAGUGCCCAACCAUUUUCCAGCUCCCGCCCCAAGGAACAAUCAACCUCCGCAGCAGCAGCAGCAGUUCCGCCAAGGGAAUGAAAGCAAAUGCUUCACAUGUGGCAAUGUGGGCCAUUAUGCCAAGAAUUGCCCGAGGAAUCAGCCAAGGCAGAUGCAAGCACCAAACCAAGACAGAGGAAGAAAGCAGAAGGUGCAAGUCAGACAAGGGAAGCUCAAUUUCACUACUCUGGAGGAGCUACCUAAAGGAGCACCCGUCAUGACUGGUACCUUUUCAGUUUUUAAUCAACCUGCAUUAAUUCUUUUUGAUUCUGGUGCAUCACAUAUCUUCAUUAGCCGGAAAUUCAGCGUUAAAUGCCAACUGCCUUUCUAUCAUACCCAAGGGUCUUUUAUGAUAGCAACGCCUAGGGGCAAAAUUGCAACAAACUAAUUAAAUCGAAGUGUGCCUAUUCAGCUGGGAAGCAACAUUGUCAAAACCACCCUCCUUAUUCUAGGGAUGUAUAAUGUGGAUAUUAUUUUGGGAGCCAACUCGAUGACCCGGCACCAAGUGGUGCUUGAUGUAGCCAACCGCAUCAUUGAAAUCCAUUCCCCAAUCUGUGGAAAAUUCACCUUAUUUUUUCCCAGCCAAGAAACUAUCCGGUCAUGUGCUUUUGCUAUGAUAAAGUUACCCUUGAAGAAAAUUCCAAUGGUCUAUGAGUAUGCAGAUGUUUUUACUGAUGAGUUGCCAGGAAUGCCGCUAGAUCGGGAUAUUAAGUUUGCUAUCGAGUUGCAACCGGGAACGACACCUAUUUCCAAGAGGCCCUACCAGAUGCCACCCGCUGAAUUGGUAGAAUUGAAGAAACAACUGCAAGAGUUGUUGGAAAAGGGUUUCAUCCGCCCAAGUACUUCACCAUGGGGAUGUCCAGCCUUGUUCGUGAAGAAGAAGGUGAAAGCUUGAGAUUAUGCAUAGAUUACCGCCCACUCAAUGCGGUGACUAUCAAAAACAAGUAUCCUUUGCCUCAUAUUGACGUUCUUUUCGACCAAUUGGUCGGAGCUAAAGUGUUUUCCAAAAUAGACCUUUGCUCCAGCUAUCAUUAGAUCAAGAUACGAGCAAGUGAUAUAACGAAGACUGUCUUCUCAACCAGAUAUGAGCUGUAUGAGUACUUGGUGAUGUCGUUUGGGUUGACAAAUGCGCCAGCAUACUUCAUGUAUCUGAUGAAUUCAGUCUUCAUGCCUGAAAUGGACAAAUUCGUUGUGGUCUUCAUCGAUGAUAUUCUGGUGUACUCGAAGAAUGAAGCGGAGCGCGCCAAACACUUGCACACGGUACUCCAACAUCUGAGAGAGCACCGUCUUUAUGCCAAAUUGUCCAAGUGUGAUUUUUGGCUAAAGGAAAUCAAAUUCUUGGGUCACAUUAUCUCUGAGGGAGGAAUAGCUGUUGAUCCAGAUAAAGUGCAAGAGGUGAUGAAUUGGAAGCCACCAACAACUGUUCGUCAAAUUCGGAUUUUCUGGGAUUGGCCGGGUAUUAUCGAUUAUUCAUUCCAGAUUUCUCCCGAAUUGCGAAGCCCAUGACAUAAUUGUUGAAGAAGGGAGCCAAGUUCGAAUGGGGUCAGAAAUGCGAAGAUGCUUUGCACACCUUGAGGCAACAUCUGACCACAGCACCUGUGCUAGCGCAACCCGACAACAAUAAGCCAUUUGAUGUGUAUUGUGAUGCCUCUAGCACUGGACUGGGGUGUGUUUUUAUGCAAGACAACCGAGUCAUUGCCUACGCGUCAAGAGCACUCAGACCUCAUGAGCAAAAUUACCCCACUCAUGACUUAGAAUUGGUCGCCGUGGUUCAUGCAUUAAAAAUGUGGAGGCACUACUUGAUGGGAACCCACUGCAACAUCUAUACAGAUCACAAGAGCCUCAAGUACAUCUUCACUCAAGCUGAUCUCAACAUGAGGCAGAGGAGAUGGCUAGAAUUGAUCAAGGACUACGACUUGGAACUACACUACCACCCGGGGAAAGCCAAUGUGGUAGCGGAUGCCUUAAGUCGAAAGUCACAAUGCAAUUGUAUGACGAUGGAUUCUCGCAUCAAUACCCUGUGUGACGAGUUGAGUAAGAUGAGGAUCAAAGUAAUUCCUUCUGGUACCUUGUCUCACAUCUCCAUUGAGCCAACCUUGCAAGAUUAGAUUAUUAUGGCCCAACUCAGUGACAAGGGAAUGUAAAUCAUUAAGGAGAAUCUUCAUAAGAAAGCGAAGAAGUAUAAGUGUUUUCGCCAAGACAGCAAGGGGAUAUUAUGGUUUGAAGACAUAUUGGUGGUUCCUAAAAAUAAAGACCUCAAGAAGAAAAUCUUGGAUGAGGCUCAUCUCUCCAAAUUCUCCAUGCACCCGGGAAGCACCAAGAUGUACCAUGAUCUGAAGCCCCUAUAUUGGUGGACCAGAAUGAAGAGGGAAAUAGCCCAAUAUGUAUCAGAAUGUGACACAUGUCAGAGGAUAAAGGCAAGACACUUAAAAUCAGCUGGUGCCUUGCAACCCCUAUCGAUACCUUCAUGGAAAUGGGAUGAAAUCAGUAUGGAUUUCAUUGUGGGUCUGCACAAUACCUGUCGACAUCAUGAUUCAAUCUGGGUCAUUGUGGACCGAUUGACAAAAGUGGCACAUUUCCUUCCAGUGCACACCACCGAUAAGGCUUAGAAGUAUGCAGAAUUGUAUAUUGACCGAAUCGUGUGUUUGCAUAGGUUACCCCAAAUAGUUGUCUCUGACCGAGGAGCCCAAUUCGUUGCCAGAUUUUGGGAGCAAUUGCAAGAGUCUUUGGAACUAAGCUAAUGAGAAGUUCAGCUUACCACCCCCAGACAGAUGGUCAGACCGAAAGGGUAAAUCAAAUUCUUGAAGAUAUGCUAAGGGCUUGUGCGAUCAAUUGUGGUAAGAACCAGGAUAAGUACCUCUCUUUGGUAGAGUUUGCUUAUAACAACAAUUAUCAAUUCAGCCUAAAGAUGGCACCCUUUGAAGCCCUAUAUGGAAGGAGGUGUCAAACACCCCUCAAUUAGUCUCAGCCUAGAGAACGAGAAAUCUUUGGACCUGACCUAGUGACAGAAGCCGAAAGGAAAGUCAAAUUGAUCAGGAAGAAUCUAGAAGCUGCUCAGGCCAGGCAGAAGAGCUACCAUGACUAGAGAAGAAAACCCCUCCAGUUUGAAGUGGGAGAUUUCAUAUAUCUGAAGGUAUCACCCACAAAAGGAGUGCAAAGGUUUGGGAUCAAAGGUAAGUUAGCCCCUCGCUACAUUGGACCUUAUGAAAUCAUGGAAGCAUAUGGACCCGUGGCAUACAAAUUGAAGCUACCUUCAAAAAUGUCUGCCAUCCACAAUGUAUUCCAUGUAUCCCAAUUAAAGAAGUGUGUUCGUUUACCAACCGAGGUCGUAGCAGAACCAGAAGUGGAGAUAGAGCCAGAUCUCUCAUAUCAAGAGUACCCUUCCAAGGUUCUAGAUUGCAAGGAAACAUCAACUCGUGCGAAGACGAUCAAAAUGUAUAAGAUCCAAUGGAGCAACCAUUCAGAGGAAGAAGCUACCUGGGAGACUGAGGAAUUUCUGCGUUCAAACUACCCCGAUUGUCUACCUAAGGGAAUCAGUAUGUAAACAUGACCCAACCCUUCCCCUGCCCAUUAAAUCCAAAUAUAAGAAAGAUGGCUUAACAUAAACUGAGUAAUCUAUAAAACAAAAUUAAGAAGGACUUCCUUCUGAAGUUGUAAAGAGAAUGGCAUUCGAAGAGCAGUUUACUAAAGAACCUUAAUAAACAAACCCACACCAUACAAGCAAACCAUGACCUUCUCUUCACCCUGGAGGACUCCGACUCGAUUCUCAGGACGAGAUUCCUUUAAGGGGGGAAGGUUGUAACACCCCAGUGUUACCUAGGAUUCUUCUCAGUGCUAACCACAAGAUCAUUAUCACAUGUGAAUCCAAUUGAGCAAAAGACACCAAAAAAAUUUAGGAGCAAAGAUUUAACUAAGUCCUUUUAACUUAAGGAUCAUACCUUAACCAUAUCAUGCACCUCAAAGUGAGAAACAUGCCCAAACCCUAAUAUACCCCUAAUUAAGCCAUUUUAGUGCAAAAGGGAAAUUGGAAAAAGGGGAAUGAAAAAUGUAAAAUCAUGGCCAGAACCAAUUAUAAAGCUUGAAAUAUACUUGGUAAGCUACAAAAACUACUAGAAAAGUUUGGCCAAAAUAAUUGUUCAAAAUCCCCAAAAAGGCCAUGCAAGUGGGAGCUAUGUAUAGUUCAGAUUUCUGAAUUUCAGCCCUCACCUAGAAAUCGGGCACGUUCACCUUGAUCCUAACUCAAAACCCUAAGCUCCCAUUGACAAAGUCGUGCUAAAUUAACCCCUCAGCAAUGUGUGUGAAGAUAGCAUCGAGAUCCGUGCCCUAGACACGUCGAGUCAAGGAUUUUAUCUCGGAUUCAUGCAGUGAGACAAACCCUACUAGAGUGCCCCAAUCUUCGGCUCCAAUCAACAAAAUCCAUAGGUCGCCACACACAAACGACAAAUGAAGGUCAGGUGAAGAGAUCUCUCAAAGGGAUCAUGGCCAUAAUCAUGAAGAUUUGGAGCCAAUGGGCACCUGAAAGUGACCACUCUCAGCGCUGCCUCGUGCUCGAUGCCGUGCCUAGGCGGCAGAGCGCGCACCGGUGCUCCUCCGCGCAUGCCUCGAGUGCAAGUCAAAGCAGCCCUCAGUCGUACUCGCCCGCGCCUUUAAAAGCCAUCCCCGGACGCGCAACACUUCACUCCACACUUGCCCUCACUGUCGUGGCCCAGUCCUUAGCUCCGGCGAGCUCUGCGCCGCCUGCCCGAGCCACCCAAACGCCGGCCAUCACGGCUAGCCAUUCUCAGAGACCUCUAGCUUCACCCGAGCCUCUGGAUAGUUUCCCCAUGGAGCUGUGAAGGUUGUCCAAGCAAGGAUCGAGACACUGCCUCACCGGACCAAUGGGAUCACCAUCGCCGGACUUCGGCCGCCCACCACCGCUCAUAGACCGGGCCACUAGGUGAACCAUUCUUCGAUUCCUUGCACCCAUGACCUCCCUGACCUCCCGUGAAGCUCCCCGACUCAUUGGAUUGUCCUAUGUCGCCGUGGUUAGGCCAGACUCCU
rnacentral:lncRNA from 1 species